GAUUUUCGAGGACAAUAAUUGCAAGGGAUAAUAUCCUAUAUACUCCUUAUACGUUUGAAAAUAUCCGAUUUGUUCCUACUUUUUUUUCUUUCUAAAAUACCUCUCAUAUGUUCCACCGUUAUUGCAAAAUACCCUCGCAGUUAUCUCCUGUUAAGUUAACUUGGGUUAAACAUGAGUUAAAUAUCUACCACAGUUAAAAAAAUUAAAACGCCAAUUUUGCAUUUAACUUAUUUUGUGCCCCUGACUUUAAGAGCAAAUAAGAAAGACAAUGAUAGUGAAAAGGUAUAUUUGAAAGGGCAAAAUAGUAAUUUUACAGAGAUAAUAUAGUUAAUUAACAGAUUUUAACUCUAGAGGUAUAUUAGGAAUAGGUUGAAACGUAGGAAGGGUAUUUUCAAUAUUAGCCUUCUAAAAGGGGUAAAUCGGAAAGUCAGAAACUUUUCAGGGGUAUAUAAGUAAUUGCCCCUAAUUACAAAUAAAACUAUGGUAUCUGAUGCAAUGGUAAACUAUUAUCUAAUGCAGUAUCUUCUAUAACAUAAAUUCUCAUUUGUUAUAUUAUCUAUAAAUUUAGCGUACCACAGUUUUGUACGAACAAAGAUUUACUCAUAAAAUAAAAUAUUUAAUUUAAAUCCCGACUCAUACCAAGAAAGAUGAUUAAUAACUAAAUAAAUCUAAUUCUAUCAUCUUACCGAGACUUGAUAUCCUUUAAUUUAUAACCGCAGGCAAAAUCGCCGACACCUCCGCCGAUCAUUGCUGCUUGAGUGCUCGUCGAGGAACCUCUACCUCACAGAGUAGCAAAGUUCAAAAUCCAAAAGGGUGUUAUAGAGCCCCGAGAUCUCCACGUAAUUGAACCCAGAUGCUAAAUCCACACUAAUUAAAAUUCUCAAGUCGAAUUGGACAUCGGAUGAGGCAGCGAAGGAGGAUGGGGUUUGAGAGGAGGCGAGGAAGGCAGUGCCUCUACCGCAGCCGACAGAGAUGUGACCGUGGCGAGGGGCGGAAAUUUAGUCUAACGUUUUGGUAGUGUAAUAUGCAUGCUCUUUGCAAAGAAACAUCAAUUAACUAAUAUGAAAUCCCAUGCAUGUUCUAUUGUCCACGUGGCGAUAUUAUCUUGAUUUGAAUUUUUGUGUGACCUACCUGUCAAACUAAUAUAUUUUGCUUAAUAUAAUUUUCAUUUAAUUGGCUAAGAGAUUUUUCAAAUUCUCUUUUGUGGGUCUCACCUAUCAUCUUAAUUAAUUAUAGACUUUUGUGGAAACCCAACUGUCAUAUUAACUUAUUUGCCCAUGGGUCCCACUGUCAGUUUAUUUUUCUCAUUCUCUUUCCAUUUAAUUGUUUCAGAGACUUUUCAUUCCACCUUCAUCUCUAGGGUCGCUUCGACUCCCGAGUAGCGACGCUUCGUUCCAACGUGUCGCAAUAAUUGUUUGGAUUCAUCUCAUCGAAUAUAUCUAUUUGCCGAAUCUGAAAGGCCAUCUAACGUUUAAUGCGGUAUUUCCCGCUGCCUUUUUUUUUUGUGCGGCAUAACAUCUCCACUCCUCUGCCAGUUUUCACUUUUUCUCUGAUUUGGUUUUCACCUUUCAUUCAUGUUGUAAUUUCAAUUUGUGUACUUAUUAUUUUUUUCUCAGAAAAUACUAAAUACUUUUAUUUUCUCUCAGAAAAUUUAUUGCUUCUGGCUGCAACAAUUAAUCAUAUUAACAGGUUCCUUUUUACUUUGAAUUUGAUCUUUUAUUUCUUUACUCCAAUUUUUCUAUUGUAUAUUAUAUUUUAAAUUAAUAUUAAUCUUUUUUAUUAUGAAUUUUUUACCUCUGUAUCUACAAUUGAUUGUCUCAGAUUUUUUAAGUUUCUUGGCCUAAUUUUUAUGUAUAUACUUAUUUUUUUUUGCAUAUUAUUUUACGCUGUUACAAGUGUAAAAUUCGUUGUAUCUAUGGUUGCCGCUGCUGCUGUUUCUUCAAUUGCUUCUGCUUUUUUUUUUCUUAUUCAAUUUUUUUUCUCUUAUGUAAUUACUAUUUCUUCUUUCUUUACCUUUUUUCACAGGAUAUUAAAUAUUUCUUUAAGUUAUUUAUACAUCAAAAUUUUUUUUUCUUAAGAAAAGAAUUUUAGUAUAAAAACGCAAGUUAAAUAUUGAAUAUUAUCUACUCGCAACAUCGUGCGGGUCACUGCACUAGUUAUAAUAAGCUUUACCAUGCACAGUUUUAUGUUUAUAGUUGCAGGUCUCAAAGGCAAAAUCAAGUUCAAAGUUAAGAAUAUAUAUUUCUCCUUAUCAACCACUUCCAACCAUUAAGACAAACAAAUAUUAAGAUAUUGUUUACACUGGCCUUUCCCUUUUAGUCUCCUAAAGGCUAUAUAAUAUCAUGUAAAAAUAUUAAUAGUAAAUAUAAAGAAACAAAAGAGAACACUCUUCAAGUUAGGGAUAAAUGUAUAUUUAUUUAUAUAAAUAUAUCUGAAUUUUAAUGGAUCCUUCCGAGUCAUCAAUUUUACUUUUUUGUAUAUUUAUUUAUAUAAAUAUACCUGAAUUUUAAUGGAUCCUUCCCGGUCAUCAUUUUUACUUUUUUGAGAGAAAAAAAAGAUUGUUUGUAUGCAAGAAAGGUUAGAAUUUCUAGAAAUCAAAUUUACAGCAUUUAGAAAAUUCUAAAAAUUAAAUUUUUUAAUUUUUUGACAUUAUUUUACUUUACGAUCUAAAGAUCUUAAAAUUAACAACUUUUAACGUGCGGUAUGUGAUGCUUACUAAUUCAACGGUGUAAAAAAAUCAAAAUUGGCUGAAUUUUUGAUAGAAAAUUCUAUUCACUAUCUAAAUAAAGACCAAUAACUCUGAUCUUAAAGAGGACGUUCAAUUUUGACCGUUCAUUUUAUGCCUUCUUGGUGGAGUUUAAUAUAACUUUAAAAAAACUACGAAAUUUAUUUUUUAAGAGUUUCAAAUACUCCAGAUUAUAUUUAAGAGUUUCAAAGUUCCAUUAUAAAAAAUAACUUAUAAGCACGAAAGGGUGUAUACUUAUAAUAUAUAUAUAUAUAUAUAUAUAUAUAUAUAUAGAGAGAGAGAGAGAGAGAGAGAGAGAGAGAGAGAGAGAGAGAGAGAGAGAGAGUUGGGUUAAAAUACUCGUAAUAGUAUCCGACUAUGGAUACUAUUAAGAGUAUCUAUAGUCGGGAUGAAAAAUUGCAAGGUUGGGAUGAUAGUGAUCCCUUAGAGUUUAGUGGUGGUUUCCUAGGUUUUAGUAGGUGGUUGCUAGAAUCGCAUGAUCUAAAGAAUGGAAUUGAUCAAGGGGUAAAUCUAAUAGUGAAAAACUGAAUAGCACAAAGUGUUUGGUACUAUAAAUAGUAUCUCGGAAAGACUAUAUGUAUGUAUGUAACUAUGUAUGUAUGUAUGUAUGUACCUUAUUUUACUUUUUAUCAUGCCUAUUGUUUACGUAGGGUGUAAUGUGGGUCGUGCCGGGCCGGCAUUGCCCACAUUUUUCGGGCCGAAACGGGCUAGGGACUGGCUCGGCCCGAGCUCUCUAGCCUUCGGCCCAGUACGGCCCCUCGGCCUGGAAGGCACGGGCCCUGCCGUGCUCCAGGCUAGCCCAUUUUUAAAUUUUUUUAAAAAAAUAUAUAAAAUAUAAGAAUAUAAACAAAAAAUUAUUUUUGUUUAAAUUGAUAUUUUGAUUAAAAUAUUUAAAAUUUAUAAAAAAUUUAUAAAAUAAUAAAUAUUUAAAUAUAUUAUAUAUAUAUUUGUAAUAUUUUUUUAAAAAAAUUUGAAAUCUUUUUUUGGUCUAAUGGACCAAAAUUAUUUUGGUCCACUUUGGUCCAUUAGACCAAAAGCAUGCCUCCCAAGGUCUGCUCACCUUGGGAGGAGGGCCACGAGAUUGGACCCAGACCCAAGACAACUUGCCUUGGGCCUGGAGUUCCGGGCCAACGGCCUCUCCUCGGCCCGGGACGGCAUAGGCCCGUUUCGGGCAGUGUCGUGCCGGGCCGUUGGGCCCCAAAAAAGCGACCUAUCAGGCGCCCGGAGAGCCGGGCUGGCCCGGUCCGGCAUGGAUGUUACAGUAGCCUUGUCCGGGCCACGGCUCGGCCUGCAUUGGUGCCAGGCAGGGCGGCCCACGGCCCGUUUUACAGCCUUAUGUUUACGGUUCAACGUUAAGUUACUUUGUAUGUGUUUUGUACCAAUGUUCUACAUUUAGGUUUUCAAAUGUUUAUUUCAAAUCAAUUGAACAUAAUAGUUUUUUACGAAAAUUAUAAUGAUGUAUAAAAUAAAAUAUAAAUUAUAGUAUCAAAACAAAUAAAAAAAAACUAUUAUUGAUACAAAAUAAACUUCCACAAUAUUAUUGAAAAAACUCUCAGCACGCAUCAUAGUAACGUACAUUAUUUUACACACAUUUUUUUUAACAUGAUCAACUGAUCACACCAUUAUUCACCUUGUCUAAUCCUGUAAUUAGGGAAAGAGCUCAAUUAUGGAGUGUGGACCACCCUUCAAAGGAGUAAUUUUGUAGUUUGCAAACCCUGCUUUGCUAAAAAUUUUUCGCCACUCGACUUCGUCGCGCUCCUUUCCGCCGAGGCCAGUCAUCAUAAUAACAUCAGACAAGAGUCCCAUUUCAUUUUUCCGGGGGUCGUCGCCGAGCGUAUUUAUCACUAUAUCCACAAUUAUGACUUUUCCGUGUUCUCCUCCAUUAGCAGAAAUUGCUUUCUUACAUUGCUUUAGAAUCUUCACGCAGUCCUCGUCGCUCCAGUCGUGAAGAACAUUCUGUGUUACACAUUUCAGGAGAUCUUUUGUCAGGAUCAAAUGCAAAUGUAACACCACUAUUUUUUGAUUGCACGUGGUAUUUGUAAUUCAUAAAAAACAAUACACGAUGAUUAAUUGCGAAAAAUAUUUGUUCAUGUAUAUAUAUAUAGAGAGAGAGAGAGAGAGUGUGUGGCUACUAUACUUUUAUGAAUAUGACCACCCUCAAACUUAUAAGUUGUUUUCGAUGAUAGAGUUUCCGAAUCGACGAUCCAUACCGUUAAAUAUUAUUUAGAACAUUUAAAACUUUUAGAAAUCAAAUUUCAUAAUUUUUCGAUAUUAUUUACCUUAUGAUUAAAAUGUCACAAAAUUGACAAAUUUUAAUGAUUGAUAUGGGAUAUGUGUUAGCUUAGCAGUGUGAAGGAAUUGGAAUAUGUUGAAUUUUUAAUAAAAAAUUAUAUUCACUACCUAAAUAAAGAUCAAUAACUCUAAUCUUAAAUUAAAAGAUCCGAUCAUCUAUUUUUCGGACAUCGUUCGAUUUUAAUCGUUGAUUUUAUGCCUGCUUGAUAGACUUUAUUAUGAUUUCGAAAAAUUACAAAAUUUAUUUUUUAGAAGUUUCAAAUACUUUAGAUCAUAUUUAAGAAAGCAGAUUGUCGAUUCGGAAGCUCUAUCAUCGAAAACAACUUAUGAGUACGAAGUGCUCUAUACUCAUAAGAAUAUAAUAGCCCUACUCUCUCUUUUUCUCUUUCUUUCUCUCUCUCUCCAUAUAUAUAUAUAUAUAUAGGCUGGAAUGCUUUUAAUAGCACUAAGUUAUUGGUGUUAUUAGAUUUUUGGUUCUUGAACAAAAGGAUGUGCUAUUAGAAUGAUAGUGAUCCUGUAGGGUUGAGUAGAUGGUUGGUUGAAUAGUAUGAUUUAUCCUAGAGUAGAUUGUUGGUUGAUUAAUAUGAUUUAACGGAUAGAGAUGGUCGAAAGGUAAAUCUAACGAUUGAAAACUUUGUAGCACCAAGUGCUUGGUGCUAUUCGAAGCACCCCAAUCGGAUUCUCUCUCUAUAUAUAUAUAUAUAGCUGAAUUCAAUAAUUAUUUCUAAUUUUGUACUUAUUUAAAAUAAUGAUAAAAUAUAGGAAGGUAAUUGAACUAAUUUUUAAUGCAAGGGUAAGAGGCCUCUGACCAUCCCAAAUUUCAACAACUAGGCAUAUCAGCAGAGUAUUAUAUAUAUCUAUAUAUAUAUAUAUAUAUAUAUAUAUAUAUAUAUAUAUUAUAUAUAUAUAUAUAUUAUAGUUGGCUGUGGUAUGCUUAUGAAAGCACGGAGGCCUCCGUGCUUUCAUGUUGUUUCGAUGUUCGGACUUUCGAAUCGACGAUCGGUUCCGUUAGAGUUGAUCUAGAGUAUUUGAAUACCUAGAAAAUAAAUUUUGCGAUUUUUCGAUAUCAUUUGCCUAGUGAUCGAAGGGGCUCAAAAUCAAUAAUUUUAAUGACCAUGGUGAGCCGGUUGCAAGUUUAACGGUAUAGAAAUAUUCAAAUCACGUGAAAUUCUGAUAGAAAUUUUUUAUACUAUAUAAAAUAAGAUCAAUAUCUUUGAUCUAAAUUUUAAUGUCAUAUCAUCAUAUUUUGUGAGAUUUUUUUUUCAGCCGUUGAUUUGAGCCCCUACGCACCUAGGCAAAUGAUAUCGAAAAAUCGCAAAAAUUAUUUUCUAGAUCUUCAAAUACUCUUAGAUCAAAUCUAACGAGACGAUGUCGAUUCGAAAAUCCACACAUCGAAAACAACUUGAAAGCAUGGAGGCCUCGUGCUUCCAUAAGCAUACCGCGCAAACAUAUAUAUAUAUAUACAUAUAUAAUAUAUAUAAUAUAAAUAUACUAUAUAUAUAUAUAUAUAUAUAGUACGGCUGGGACACUAUUAAUAGCACCAUGCACCAUGCAUUUGGUGCUAUCAAGUUUUCCGCCGUUAGAUUUAACCCUUUGACUAUUUUCACCCAUUAAAUUAUAUUAUUAAACAAACAACUCACUCAACCCUUGGGGUCCCACAUCAUAUUAACCGUACAUUUUUUAAUCCAAUGACCGAAAACCUAAUAGCAUAAAAUGCUUGGUGCUAUUGAUAGUAUUACAGCCUAUAUAUAUAUAUAGGCUGGGGCUACUAUACUCUUAUGAGUAUAGACCCUCUUAUACUCAUAAAUUUCUAACAGUUAAUUGAUGGGAUGUAUGGUUAGGAUGAUAGUAGUCCCCACUUAGAAUGAGAGUGGUCGCCUACGGUUGAGUGGGUAGUUGGUUGAAUAGUAAAAUCUCACGGAUAAAAAUGAUCAAUAAAAUAAAUCUAUGAGCCAAAAAUUUAUGAGUAUAAGAAAAUCAAUAUUCAUAAAAAUAUAGUAGCCGGACUCUCUCUCUCUCUCUCUAUAUAUAUGUAUAUAUAUAAUUUUGUGUAAUACUAAAUACAAAGGACAAUACUAGUUCUAUAGCUUACUUUGGAUUAUAAUCAUACAAUUUCCGUAGUUCACAAAGUCCUUUCUUCUUUACUUAUCUUACCAUUUUCUUCCUCUACGACUAAAAAAAAUUAAUAAAUCCUACAACGCUUAGGGGGGGAUUGGGAUCUUUUUAAUAUUAAAGAAAAAAUUGCCUAUAUCAAUUUAUCCCACUCUACUUAAAAGUAAGGGGGUUGUUACCCGAGUUUUAAGUUUAAAUUUUAGUUGAUUUAUAUUUUUAUUUAAUUUUAUUUUUAAAUUAAAUAAAUGAAGUUACUAACAUGCUACUGAUCUCUAAAAAAAAAAAAUCCAAAAGGAAUUGGCUCAUCGUAGGAAGUAGAGUUGUGGGAUUCUAACUUUUUUGGGUGUUAAUUAGACUUAGUAUUCCUCUUUUGAAAGAAGAAAGCUCUGAAAAUUAAUCUUACCUUGAGGAGCACCGCACCGGCCGGUGGAAUGUACUCAAACAUGUCGCCGGCGACCGCGUCGAUGAGCUCGCUUUUGGGUGCGGCGGCCACGACGUGCGGGAGCUCGAGGACGGUGCACUUCACCUCCGGAAACGCCUCGGCGAUCAUCUUGGCGGUCAUGCCGGUGCCGCCGCCGACGUCAACCAGCGACCCGAUCCCGCGGAAGACCUGCGGGCAGCACGCCACCGCCGCCGCCGUCGUCUGCCUGGUCUUGCACGCCAUCGCCUCGUUGAACAGCCUGCCCAUGUGCGGGCGCUCCUGGGCCACCUUCCACAAGUUCCUCCCGCCGUGCGCCAUCUCAAAUGCAUUCAUAUUCGCACCUUCCUGCGUCAGCCACUCGCUCAUGCGGUACAUCGGCUUCACCAUGUCGGGCUCCAAGAAGGCCCGCACGUACGAGCUCAUGUUCGGGCUGCCGUCAUCGGCGGUGACGAGGAGCCGCGAGAAGGGCGUGAGGAGGUAGCCAAUGCUGCCGUCGCCGUCGUCGUUGACGCCGCUGUCGCCGAGAGCCUGCACGGCGAAGACGCCCUGCGCGGAGAGAAGGCGCAUGAGGCGGCGGAGCAUCGGCUGCUUCUCGAGGGGCACGGGAAUGGAGAGCGCGAGGGCCGGGAGAGGCAUGGGCUCGCCCCCGUAGGCGUGGAUGUGGUCCGGGAUGCGGAGGUCGACAGCGCACUUGAGGGCGAAAGGGCCAAUGAUGCUGAUGAUUCGGUGUAUGAUCGUCGACUGGGCGACCAGCAGCUGGUCGUCGGUGAUCUUCGUCUCGCCUUUGCCGGGCUCCAUUUCUAAUCUCUGGAUUGUUUGGAUUCUUAAUUACUUGGGAAGUGGUGGAGGAUAUAUGGAGGCUUAGGCUUGCGGGUAAAUAUAUAGUGCUUAAUUUGGGGCGGGAAUAGAACCGGGCAUGUCAAACCGAAUUACCAGUCAACAAUUCUAAAUAAUAUAGGGAGAAUGGCUUAUAUACGGCUGCUAGGUUUUCGACUUUUUUAUUUAUAUUUUUUAAAAAAUUAAUAUUAAAAAUAUUAUUUUAAUAUUUUAAUUUUUUUUAAAUAUAUUUUUUGAUUAGAUUUUAUUAUUGAAUUGUUAUGAACCAAUGUUAUUUUUAUAAAAUUACUAUUUUGCUCAUUCAAAUAUACCUUUCUACUUCCGAAUAUAACCUCCUAUAUAACGUCACCAACAUUUUUUUUUAUUUGCCCUUAAUUUAAGGGCAAAAGAUAUUUUGACUUCUUUCCUUUCAAAUAUAGGCGACAUAAAUCGAAUCAAAGUGUUGACCAGAUCAGACACUUCCUCAGAAUGCGAAUCAGCUCUUGAGAUGACUCUGGAAUGCGGUACAAUUCAAGCGACUCGGUUGAGGAGGAACCAGCUCAAUUAGACUCUCUAGCAAACUAUUUACAAAUAAACGAAAAAAGCAAGCUCGACUGUAAGAGCCGAACUAUUUAUACUGAUUGGAAACGAGAGAUUACAAAUGUUGUCAUAGGCUCUGGUAUUUAAUUCACGAAUUAUUGAAAAUCCGAACAAAAUAGUCCGUAUGCGAUUUUUUAUUUCAAAACUAUGGAAUAAAACGCGAAUUUUUUGGGCUAGCCGAAUAAAACGCGAAUUAUUAAAAAUUUGAAUAAAAAUCUUAUAUUUUUUUAAAUUUUAAGUAUGGACUAUAUUAUAUUUUAUAUUUAAGUAUGGCUUUUCUAUUUGCUCGCCCUAAAAAAAAAAUUAUAUAUUUUAUAAUUAAUAAUGNGCGAAUUAUUAAAAAUUUGAAUAAAAAUCUUAUAUUUUUUUAAAUUUUAAGUAUGGACUAUAUUAUAUUUUAUAUUUAAGUAUGGCUUUUCUAUUUGCUCGCCCUAAAAAAAAAAUUAUAUAUUUUAUGUUUAAUUAUGAAUUAUCUUAAUUUUUUUCUUGCUUGAUUGUUUAUAUAUUGUGUUGUAUAAUAUAGUUUAAUUGCUAUUGCUUUUUUUUUUUUUACUUAAUCUAUUUUAUUUUGUAGCUCUUUAGUUUUAUAUUCUUAAAAAUUAUAACUAUUUAUGCUUGUAGCAUAAAUCUAGAAAAAAAAAUAAUUUUAAUAACUGAAUUUUUUAUCCCGAAUUUUUAAUUGAUGAAUAUAUAAUUUUCGUGUAAAUUGCGUAUCAAAUAAUUGGCGAACUAGAUUUUUAAGCCGUAUUUUUAAACAAAUUUAAAAAUUAGAAUAUGAAUUUUAUUCGUAUUAUAUCCGUACCGAAUUUUUGUCGAAUUCAAAUUAACUAACUAUGAUCACACGGACUAAAUAUACUUCUAGAGGAACUCUUAGCCCUUGUUUGGUUGGGGGUUAAGAGGUUGAAUAAUCCCUUAACCCCCAUAUUAUCUCCAAACACUCCUAAAAAUAGAUGGGAUUAGGUAACCCCCACCUAAUCCCACCAAACUUCAACCAAACAUUAUUUUCUAUUCAUAAUAACCCAUUAUCUUUCUUAUCCCACCUACUCUAACAAAACACUAUUUUUCACUAUCCUGGACUAACUCCAACCUUCAACCAAAUACAAAAAUACUCUAACCCAACCUUAGCCCUGAACUUAACCCUAUCCCUGAAAUAACUAGUUUUUCCUUAACCCCAAAUCAAACGGUAGCUUAACAAACAUUUAAUUAAAUCCUUAACUAAGCUCUUAAAAAUAGGAAAAGAAAAGAAAAGAAAAAUCUGUGAACUACUCCUUGUAAAGCCGUAAAUACUGGAAAUUGAAAAGAAAUUAAAAUUUGUUGUGGUCGCUUGCUUGUGUGAGGGACUCCUAUCACAGGCUCACUUUUUCCUAUUUAUAGUAAUAUAUUCUUCCGCUUGGAGUUAUUGGAUGAUUCUUACCGUGAAGGUUUUUUUGGCCAUAUCCCUAUUUCUUCGAAUUGUGCUUCGGCUAAUAUCUUGAUGGCCACGGAGCUCUCUCUUCACGUCUCUAAAUGCUUCCGCCUAAAAUGCUCUUCAGUUUAGGCGUUAUUAUCCUUGGUUCCCAGUGUACCCCGUGUCACCUUUUGUUUUGUUCCUGCUAUUUUAUCAUGUGGUCUGAAUCGCUUAGCAUGUGGCAUUACUCUUCCUGCAUCAAUAAUGCCUUCUGAUAGUCUUCUAAAAUGCUCUUCCAUUUAGGGCAUGUUUGUUUCACCGAAAUUGAACUUUCGUUAAAGUGGACUUUGGAUUGAAGUGAAGUUCGGGAAAACUACUUUUUUUUAUUGCUUUUGUUUCGUAGUAUGAAAGUAAAGAUUUAUUAGUUUUGCUGUUUGUUUAGCAGAAAAUAUAUGAUAUAUGAUUUAUAUUAUAUUAUAUAUAUAUAUAAUAAUAUAUAUAUAUUAUAUAUAUAUAUAUAUAUAUAAUAUAUAAUAAUAAAAUAAUAUAAUUAUAUUUUAUAUAAUUAAAAUUUAAUUUAAAAUAAGUAAAUUAUUUUUUUAUACAUAAUUAUAGUAAUACAAGAAUAAAUUAUAAAGUAAAAAAUAUUAAUACUUAAUUAAUAAUUUUUAUCAUAUUUAAUUGUAUAAAAAAAUAAAAGUUUAUCAAAUUUUUUAAAAUUUGAGAGGCAUGUAAGUAAUUAUCCCAAUAAAAUAAUAAUGAGAGAGAGAAAUGUGAGGUCAAAGUCGUUGCAAUCUCUAUCAUAGAUGUCUUCUCAUUAUCACGAUGCCUGGAAAUUUAGUUGGUAGUCGUUCAUUACAUGACCCUUCUUUUGUCAUGUUUGCAUUUGUAGAUAGCAUUUUUCCAUUUAAUUAACCUCUCGUCCCUAGCCAAUGGUAAGGCUUAGUGAUUGAUAUCCGAAAUUUCAAUUUCAAAUUCGAAUUCUAGUUGAUUCAUCAUUUCUAGCGAAAUUUAUUUUUAAAUGAAAUAAAUAAAGCAGAUAACAUAUUACCUAUCUCUCUCUCAAAAAAAAAAAAAAAAAAAAAAAAAAAACUCUCGUCACUAUCUCAUUAGAAAGGUCGGAUUCAAGUUAUUACUAUUCUCAACCAAAUCAACUUCUCCUGCAUUAAACUCUUGAAAACUAGUCCCUGAAAGAAGAGAACUUAAUUUUAAAUCUCCUAAAAAAUUUAGCUACAACUACUACUGACUAAAUAAUAUCAGGCAUUUAAGGGGCUAGGGAAGUUAUAAUAAUAUUCUUUCUCUACCGUGUCGCAGAAUGUAAGUAAUGAAACUGUUUGCCGAAAAGAAGCAAAAGUAAAAAUAAUUUUAUCAAUUAGAAAGAGAGUUAUAUUGGAAUGAGCUCCAAACCUUUGGCAUGGAUUCUCCGCUAUGACUUGACCUCUUUAAAGCAUAUUACGUUCGGCUGCUUAGUUCGGACUAAACUUGUUAUACUUUAGGUAGAAACUGAAACUCUAAGAAUCUAAAAUUUCAGCCUAUAAUUUCUGGAUGGUUGAAACGUCAGGAAAGUACGUAAGCUACUGAAACUACUAAAACUACUACGGCUGUUUUUGGCUGGAAUUAGAAAAAUUUAACAACUUUACUUUCAGUAUGAACAAUAAAAUUACUAUUUCUUAAGAAUCGUCUUAGACGUUGGAUGUUGUGGAAGAUAAAGUCUCUCUCUUCAUCGUUUGUGUAGUAGCUAUAAUACCGUGGCCUGACUUCGAUUCUGAUAAUCUAAUAAGAUAUAAUUUAAUUUUUGAUUUUUUUUUGUCAUUGAAUAAUUCAUACUAAACUACAAUAAAAAUUCUGCCAAAUUAUUGAGUUAUUUUCUAAAAUUAAUAGUUUUGAUCACUUUUUAGCAACUAAAAACUAGAAUAGUUAAUACCUAAUUACUAACUGAACGUGUAAUAGGAAAACCGAAAUAAAAAAGAAAAUAAAAGUUUAGGGAGUGUUGGCAAAGUAGAAUACGAAGAGGGCCUUGUCGGAAUGUCCUACUCCUCUACAAUAGGAGUUCUACGUACAUUUUUACCCAACAUCUCCUUGUUAAAACGUUUGGAGCAGUUUUUGUUGGUUAUUUCAAUGAUUCAAAAAUCGAAUUGAAUCGGCUGGUUCAACCGAUCCGACCGUAACCCAGUCUAUAAAGUAGUUUAGUUUAGUUAUUUGAAUCAAAUAAUUCAAGAAAAUCACUUUGAACAGUUUGAACAGACGGUUCAACCAUCGGACCGGUAAAUCGGCCCGGUUGGAUUUUUUUUGAUGAAGUUAUACUAAAAUUCAAUGGCUUAAAAUUCACUUAGCUUUUUUAUUAGCACAAAUUAGUCUUAUAAAAAACAGAAUUCGAAAAAUUAUAUUUACUUAAUUUGGUAUAGAAAUUAAUAUUUUAUAAAUAAGUAUACUACUAGAAAUAAUAAUAAUACAUGAUAUUAUUAAAAUAUUAAUUAUUUUAUAUGAUAUUUAAUGAUUAAAAUUUUCAAAGAUGACUGCGGCGGAAGAAUGUGAGGUGCCGGGUCAUGUGGGCAGCCCGAGUUACACGACUUGAAAAGUCUAGUCUUGGCAACAAAAACAUCAUCCUAUGUAAUUUUUAACUAACAAUAUUUUGACAAAUAAAAAUGAAACAAUACUUUCUGGAUCUUUUCAUAACUUUUUUAAGCAUUUCCUAAAUAUAUAUCGUGUGAAACCUUUUCUUGUUUCUUGCACACUCUUUUUCCAUCCUCUUUGACUUUUAGUGAUAGUAAAAGGUUCCUGAUGCUUGAAGUUACACCGAAUUUCAAUAGUGCACGUCACUUUCGAGUUUGGUAGCCCGUUGGAAUAAUGUUGAUAGAGAGAGAUAGGAUUGGAAUACUAUUGAUAGUAUUUGGCCUUUUUUGCUAUUAAAUUUUUAAUUUUUGGAUAAGAAAUUAUAGAGUUAUAAUGAUAUUAGUCUCUGAGGGUUGAGUAGUUCUCUGAUUAGGAUUGUGUGGUCUCUACUAGAUUAUAAUAUUUAAUCUCAUAGUUAGAAAUGAUCAAAAAAAAUUGAUCUAAAGACUAAAAAUUUAAUAGCAAAAAAGGACAAAUAUUAUUAAUAGGAUUCUAGCCGAAUUCUCUCUCUCUCUCUCUCUCUCUCUCUCUCUCUAUAUAAAGAGAGAGAGAGUAGGGCUACUAUACUCUUAUGAGAAGAGCGCCCUUCGUACUCAUAAGUCUCUCUCUAUAUAUAUAGAGAGAGAGUAGUGAUAGAUUUUAUAGGUAUGUAAAACAAAACCGAAAAUAAAUACAUACCAAAAUGCAGGAUCAAAAUUAAUAAUAAGAUAACUCACAGAGCGCCAUGGAGAAGAAAUUCUUGAUCAAUCUUGCGGAAGCGUGAAGUCCGGCUAUGGUCUGAAAGUCACGAACCGAACUUGGGUGAUUUGGUUUCUCCCCCUAUCUCAUGCACUCUGCCGUAUGGUGUGAAACCGAUAGUAAUUCUUCACCAGAAUGCGUAUGAGAAGGUGGCAGGACCAAUACCCCUUUAUAUAGAGUCCAAAUCGACUUCUCAUCAAAGUCUGAUUAGGAUUCUAUUUAAAUUUAAAAUAGAUGGGAUAGGGAUAAAAUAUACCAUAUCAAGUAGUUCUAUAUCUAUUAGGAUUGACCUUUAUCUAUAGUAAAUCCUAAUUUAAAUAUGAUUAAUUGGGCCACAAUAUAUGGAAAUCCUAACAAUCUCCCACUUGGCUCAUAUUAAUCAUAUUUCAUUAAUGGAUUUUCUAUCUUCCAAACUUUAUUGCGCAUUGUAGGAAACUUUAUGGUCAAAUACCUUAGAACUCACUUGAUCUUUAGCUCAAACUAAAAGACUACAAUGAUAGGAACUAUGGCGGUCCACCUCUUCAUAACGAAAUUUUCCUUCCAUAAUUACCGUAUCAUCUUCACCUCUUAGCCGAGUACUUUAUAUGACACAACUUUAUGAAUGAACUUAAACUGUAUAUUCAUCCAUUAAUAAGCGAAGCUUUAUGCCUAUUAAAAGGUCCAACACAGCUGCAUUAAACUUUAACUUUAUUGAAAGAAAAUAAGUAUUAAAAUUUUAUACAUCGAAAGAACUAAUCAAACCCAUAUUUCUAACAUGAUCCGUAUAUGACCCAGGUGCCAGCCCCUUGGUCAUUGGGUCUGCAAUCAUACACUUGGUACUGAUGUAUUCAAUUGUAAUAUAACCUUCAUCUAUCUUCUCUCUCACAACAAGAAAUUUAGUGUCCAAGUGUUUACACCCCGCUGUAAUCUUGUUGUUAUUGGCAAAGGAAACCGCAGCUGAACUAUCACAGAAAAUCUUUAUUGGACGAGCAAUGGAGUCCACAAUUCUUAAGUCUGUGAUAAAAUUCCUAAGCCAAAUAGCCUGUGAUGUGGUCUCGUAACAUGCAAUGUACUCUGCAGCCAUGGUCGAAGGAGCAGUAACACUUUGUUUGCUACUCUUCCAUGAUAUCGCUCCACCAGCAAGCAGAAAAAUAUAUCCAGUCGUAGACUUUCUGGUAUCUGGGCAUCCAGCAAAAUCAGAGUCCGAGUACCCGAUCAGCUCCAAGUGAUCCGAUCUCCUGUAAAUCAGCAUAUGAUCCAAAGUUCCUUUCAAAUACCUCAUAACCUUCUUAGCAGCCUUCCAAUGCUCCAUACCUGGAUUAUUUUGAUACCUGCCAAGUAAUCCAACGGCAAAAGCAAUAUCCGGACGUGUGCACGUCUGUGCAUACAUAAGACUACCAACUGCAGAGGCAUAAGGUAUACUUUUCAUCUGUUCAAUUUCUAAUUGGUUCUUGGGACACUGAAAAGCAUUAAGCUUAUCCCCUUUCUGGACAGGAGCAACACUGGGCUUACAAUUAUGCAUUUCAAAAUUUUCCAAAACUUUCUUUAUGUCGGCCUUUUGAGACAGACCGAGUAAACCUUUAUGUCUAUCUCUUUUGAUUUCAAUACCAAGAACAUAUGAGGCCUCACCUAAAUCUUUCAUUUCAAAAUUUUGGAAAAGAAAUUCUUUAGUGUUAUGCAAUAGCCCAAGAUCAUUACUGGCAAGCAAAAUAUCAUCAACAUAAAGGACUAAGAAAAUUACUUUACUCCCACUAACCUUUAAAUAAAUACAUUGAUCAACAAUAUUUUCCUUAAAACCAAAGGUUAAAAUAGUUUGUUUAAAUUUUAAAUACCAUUGUCGGGAGGCCUGCUUUAGUCCAUAUAUUGAUUUCUUUAAUUUGCAUACCAAAUGCUCCUUUCCCUUUUGCGAGAAUCCUUCAGGUUGAUUCAUAUACACCUCUUCAUAGAGAUCCCCAUUUAAAAAGGCAGUUUUGACAUCCAUCUGGUGUAGCUCGAGAUCAAAAUGAGCAACCAGAGCCAUAAUAAUACGAAAAGAUUCCUUUCUAGAUACUGGAGAAAAAGUCUCUUUAUAGUCAAUGCCUUCUUUCUGAGUAAACCCUUUUGCCACAAGACGGGCCUUGUAUCUUUCUAUGUUACCUUUGGAGUCCCAUUUAAUUUUAUAAACCCAUUUGCAUCCUACGGGUUUCACUCCAAUAUGUAACUCAACAAGAUCCCAUACCUUAUUGUGGUUCAUGGAUUCAAUCUCAUCAUUCAUGGCAUUGUACCAUUCCGUAGAAUUACUGCUAUUUAUGGCUUCGGAAAAACUAAGAGGAUCAUCCAAACUCUGACCAUUCUCAUAAAGAUAGAUAAUAUAAUCACUGGAUAUAGCCGGUCUUCUCUGUCUUGAGGAUCUUCUUAAAUCUAUCUGAUUAUCCACACGUAUAUCUUGAUGUGGAUUAUUCACUUGUACAUCUUGAUGUAAAUUAUCCACUUGUACAUCUUGAUGUGAAUUAUCAAUGAUAGGUUCACAAUCAUUUUGUGGUUCCAAAACAACUUGUUGUUCUACUGAAAUAGGAACCAACAAAUCGUGAGGGACAACAGUGGGUCUAUCAUGUACAGAAUCCGAAUGCUCCUGAAUUUCCUCAAAUUCAAUGAAUCGAGGUUCAGAGCUCCCACUAAUUGUACCAUCCUCAAUAAACCGUGCUGUUUUAGUUUCUGCAAUCUUUAUAGGAAGUGAUGGACAGUAAAAUUUAUACCCUUUGGACCUUUCUGAAUAACCAAUAAAAUAUCCUGAUAUGGUUCGAGGAUCCAGUUUCUUUAUUUGUGGAUCAUACAAUUUGGCCUCAGCUUGACAACCCCAUGUAUGAAAAUGUCUUAAACUGGGUUUCCUACCUGUCCAAAGCUCAAAAGGAGUCUUAGUGACAGCCUUAGUAGGAACCCGAUUAAGAAUAUAUAGGGCAGUUUUGAGUGCCUCACUCCACAAUGAUAUUGGAAGGGUAGAAUUACUGAUCAUACUCCUGAGCAUAUCAAUUAAUGUGCGGUUUCUUCUUUCAGCAACACCAUUCUGAUCAGGUGUCCCUGGCAUGGUGUACUGUGGAACAAUUCCGCACUGCUCCAGAAACUUAGCAAAAGGCCCAGGGAUUUGGCCUUUAUCUGUUUGUCUACCAAAAUAUUCACCACCCCUAUCUGAUCUGACUACUUUUAUCCUUUUCUCGAGUUGAUUCUCUACUUCAGCCUUAUAUGCCUUAAAGGCAUCUAAUGCUUCAGAUUUUUCUUUAAGUAAGUAGAGAUAGCCAUAUCGAGAGUAGUCAUCAGUAAAUGUGAUAAAAUAUUUAUGGCCAGUAAUUGAAAUAGGAAGAGGUCCGCAUAUAUCGGUAUGAAUCAACUCUAAUGUUCCAUCACAUCUUUUAGCACCUUUAGAGGAAGUUUUGGUCUGCUUUCCCUUUAUGCAGUCCACACAUAUUCCAAAGUCAGAGAAGUCCAAAUCAUCUAAAAUGCCUUCUCUAAUUAACCUUUGGAUUCUCUGUUUCGAGAUGUGUCCUAACCUCUUAUGCCAUAACAUGGAUGACCUUUCAUUAUUAAUGCCACGUUUUGAUCCAACAUUUCCGUGCAUGGUAAGAAGGAUUUCACUAAAUGAAUCAUCUAAAAAUACUUUAUAUAGAUUAUUUUCCAAAACACCAGAGCCAACUAUCUGAGAUUUAUAAGAUAAAGAAAAAACUUUAUUAUUAAAACUGAAACUAUAUCCCAAUCCAACAAGUUUCGAAAUAGAAAUUAAAUUCUUAGAAAAAUUUGGAACAUAAAAUGUAUCAACUAAAUCCAAAAUGUGACCAGUAGAAAGAACUAAUCUAAAUGUUCCUACAAAUUCUACUUUAGUUGGAUUUCCUUCAGCUGUAUAGAUAGUCGCUUCAUCUUUACUGGGUUUUCUCCGAUUCUGAAAUCCCUGCACGGAAUUCGCCACGUGACAUGUGGCACCAGAGUCAAUCCACCAAGUAUUAGACGGAACUGAAACUAAAUGCAACUCAUGCAUCAAAACCAGAAAUUUACCUUUCUUCUGGAGCCAUUUCUGAUAUUUUUGGCAGUCCUUCUUUAUAUGACCCUUUUUCUUACAAAAGAAGCACUUGGGAGUCCAAUUACUUGAUUGGCCUUGUGAACCAGAUGGAACUUCCUUAUUCUUUCUUUUUGAGUCAUUCUUGCCCUUGCCAUUCUUUGCACGCUUUAUUUGUCUCUUUUGAGAAACAAAGUUGACUGCAUUUUGUUUCUCUUGUAUUAAUCUGCCUUCCUCUUGCACACACAUGGUCAGCAGUUCAUUAAUUGACCAUUUAUCUUUAUGUGUAUUAUAAGAGAUCUGAAAUGGUCCGUAUUCAGAUGGCAAAGAAUUCAAAAUAAAGUGCACUAAGAAUGAAUCAGAGAUGGUUACUUCAAGUGCGGUGAGUUGCGCUGCAAUAUCUCGCAUUUCCAUAAUAUGCUCGCGAAUCGAGCCAUUUCCGGAGUACUUCAUGGAAGACAGUUUAUUCAUUAAGGUGCUCGCCAAGGCUUUAUCGGAGCUGACAAACUGCUCCUCAAUAGCCUUUAGAUAAUCCUUGGCUUUAUUACAUUCUGGGAUUGAUCCCCUUAUGCUUUUUGAUACCCUUGACUUUAUGAGCAUCAAACUUAAGCGGUUGGAUCGCUCCCACUUUUCCUGCGCGGAUUCCUGCUGUGGAGUCAUUGGCCCCACUACCUUAGGCGGUUGUUCAGCGCGCAGAGCCAAAUCUAAAUCCAUAUAACCCAAAAUGAACAUGAUCUGUUCUUUCCACUCCGAAUAAUUAGAACCAUUAAGUAUAGGAACAGAUUCACCAAUAGGAACAGAAAAUGGAGUCAUAGCUGAAAAAUAAAAUGCAUGUUUUAUCAAUAAAAUACCACAUCAAAAUUACCACACCAAAAUUAGAGAAAUACACUUUAUAUGAUAUCACAACCCCUCCUUUGGGAGCAGAGUUAUGAGCAUAAGUAUUUUUCGUUCUUUAUGCAUAUACUUUAUAUGACAUCACAACCCCUCCUUUGGGAGCAGAGUUAUGAGCAUAAAUAUGCAAUCUCUUUGUUAGAGAUUAAUUUAAACUUUCUGUAGGUCGUGAUAAUCUCAAAUUUCUCAUAUGAAGAAAUUGUCAGCUUUGGCCAGGUAAAUUUCUCCAAACGAGUUAUAAGAAAAUUACCAUCCUACACCACCCAUUUACCUUCAUGUCUAGACCUCCUUUGGGAGCAGACUAAACAUAAUAUUAGGGUGCAAUUUCUCAAUGCACAUCUUUAAAGCAAUUAAUUUAUCUUUUCUUCCGGUCGGGGCCGCUUUGGCUUGCACCCGAACAGUUGAAACAAUAAAUUAAUCUGACUUAGUGCUGCAUGAUUGACAUGAAAAUUAUCCGAAAGCGCUACUUUAAAGUAAAUUAAAUUAUUAUUUCUUUUAAUUAGGGCCGCUUUGGCUUGCACCUAACCUAUCGAAAUAAUAAAUUAAUUUAACUUAGCGCCAAAUAUUAAAUAAUCGAAAACAAUUAUGAUUAUUUAAUUUUCAUGUUUAUCCGGUCAAAACAAGAAUAUAGUUGCGAUAAUUUAAAACAUGAUAUCGCAAUCAAAUUUAAACUUUAUAUAUUCUAAUUCGACCACAAAAAAAAAGAUAAAUGACGUUAUGAUAAAUUAAAUAUUGUAUGCAAAAUAUAAUCCUUAUGUGAACGGAUUCUAUAUGUCCACAAUAAUUCCGUAUGCAUAAUGAUUUUGACGGGUCAAAAUCAGACGAAUUAAUAAACAGAUUAAGUAGAAAAAUCUUUACGGAUUCAGAACAAUUAAAGAUAAGAUCAUGCAAUUCCAGGCGUAACCUGUCGGAAUAAACCAGACUAACUGGUUUGAAAAGCAACGAUCAUUAAAAGAAAUAUAGCCACAAUCGCACAAUUACAUUGCCUCGGAUCCAGAAAGGCAUAAUCCAAAACCAUAAUCAUCAUUUUUUUAUUUUUUUUUUAUUUUUUAUUUUAAUUAACUCAGUUUCAACCAAACAAGACGUAGAAUCCAAAACAAUGAUUAGCCAUGCUGCUGCUGUGUCAUCGUUUUGCAAGGCCAUAACUAAACAAAAACAAGUGACCAAAAACGACUUCUUUAUUAUAUAGCUUCCCAAUUUUGAGAAGGAAGACGAUUGAUGGUUUGAAUAUGUAAACCAUGCGGUCCAGCAAGAUUGCCAGAACAAAAACGUACGACGUGGCAAUAUCCUAACAUAUAAGUUGAUCCCGAAAUCCAAGUCAAAAUUCAUCGUAACUUGAUGCAAUUACAUAAUGCAUACAAUAUUAAUAUUAUCGAACCAAUUGGCUCUGAUACCAAUUGAUAGAUUUUAUAGGUAUGUAAAACAAAACCGAAAAUAAAUACAUACCAAAAUGCAGGAUCAAAAUUAAUAAUAAGAUAACUCACAGAGCGCCAUGGAGAAGAAAUUCUUGAUCAAUCUUGCGGAAGCGUGAAGUCCGGCUAUGGUCUGAAAGUCACGAACCGAACUUGGGUGAUUUGGUUUCUCCCCCUAUCUCAUGCACUCUGCCGUAUGGUGUGAAACCGAUAGUAAUUCUUCACCAGAAUGCGUAUGAGAAGGUGGCAGGACCAAUACCCCUUUAUAUAGAGUCCAAAUCGACUUCUCAUCAAAGUCUGAUUAGGAUUCUAUUUAAAUUUAAAAUAGAUGGGAUAGGGAUAAAAUAUACCAUAUCAAGUAGUUCUAUAUCUAUUAGGAUUGACCUUUAUCUAUAGUAAUCUAUCCUUACCCCCUUAAUUUAAUAUUUAUUGGCCAAAUAUAUGGAAAUCCUAACAAGGUUGGGUACUAUUACUUUAUUGAGAAGAGCGCCCUUGUACUAUAAGUUGUUUUCGAUGAUGGAUUCCAUACGCAACGAUCCACCCGUUAAUAUGUUGUAUUUGAUUAUAAAAAAUAAAUUUCGUUUUUUAAAUAUAAUAAGUCAUCAGCGGGCAUAAUGAAUGGUCAAUCAAGACGCUUAAAAAAGGGAUUCGAUCUUCAAUUUAAUCGGGUUAUUAUUUAUAUGGUUGUGAGGGAUUUUAUAAAAAUUAAGUUCAUACUUUUACACUGUUUAAACUGCAAAUAUCGAAUUUUGGUCAGUUAAAAAGUAUCAUUUGUGAUUUUAUCGUAAGGUAAUUUAUGUAAAUUAUAAAAUUUAAUGUCUAGAAAUUUAAAUACUUUACAAUAGUUUGAUGUUUAGAGAUCCGAUUCGAAAGCUUUAUCCAUUAAAAAUUGUAUGGUAGAAGAUAAUCGUUACUCAUUAUAAGAGUUAUAGUAGCGGACAUUAUAUAUAUAUAUAUAUGGUCGGCUACUAUACUAUUUAUAGUACGGGAGCUGUACAUUAGUGUUUGUUUCUCGAUCUUCGGGCAUUAAAUCGCGAUACGUUAAAAUUGAUCUAGUGUUUUAAAGUUUUUAUGAAAAAUUUUAUAUUUUUUCGACUAUAGUUUUAUGAUCAAAAUUUAAUUGUUCAAUUUCAUGCUUAUGUGCGAGUUUGGAGUUACGGUGUAGAAGAUCUUAAAUUUCUUCAUUUGAUAGAAAUUCUUUAAAUUACUAGAUUAAGGUUAAAUUUUGUAUUGAUUUAAAAGUCUAUGCCAAUUUUAAAGGUUUCAGGUCACAGUCCAUUUGACAUAUUAUUUACUAGUACCGAUAUCGAAAAAACUAAUGUUAUUUCUAAACUUAUUAUACCUAUUUAUAUUUAACGUGUGGAUCGCUUGAUUAACGCACGAAUGAUCGAAACAACAUUAGUAGGGUCUAUAUAUAAUUGUAUGUAGCAAUUUUAUUAUAUAUAUAUUAUGAGAGAGAGAGAGAGAGAGAGAGAGAGAGAGAGAGAGAGUUGAGCUAGAAUACUAUCGAUAGCAAACGGGCUUCAUUGUCACCCAUUUGUUUUCGAUGAUAGAGCCUUCAAAUCGACGAUCGACACCGUUGAAUAUGAUCUAUACCACUUGAAGUAUUUAGAAAUCAAAUUUCAAAUCUUUUCGAUAUUAUUUGCCUAAUAAUCAAAGGGUUUGAAAAUUUGUAAUUUUAAUGGUCGAUAUGAAAUGUUUUCUCGUUUAACGGCAUAAAGAUAUUUAAAUCAAUUGAAUUUUUGUUAGAAAAUUCUUUAAACUAUUUAAAGCAAGAUCUAUACUCUUGAUCUUGAUUACAAUGCUCCGAUCAUUAUUUUUUAAAGAAUAUUCAUUUUCAGCCGUUCAUUUUUGUGUCCACUCGAUGAAUAAGAGAACAAUAUCGAAAAUGUAUGAAAUUUGAUUUCUAAACACUUCAAGUAGUAUAGAUCACGUUCAACGGUGCCGAUCGUCGAUUUGGAAGCUCCGUCAUCGAAAACAAAUGGGUGGAAUUGGAGUCCGUUUGCUAUCGAUAGUAUUCUAGCUCAACUAUAUAUAUAUAUAUAUAUACAUAUAUAUAUAUAGGUUGGGGCUACUAUACUCUUAUGAGUAUAAAAUAUCCUUUUGUAUUAUAAAUUUAUUACGUUGUGAGAGAUAUGUGGUUAGGAUGAUGUUGUCCACUUGUAUGAAUAGUGGUUCCCUGGCGUUUGAGUGGUGGUUAGUUGUUGAAUAAGUAUGAUUUAACGGGUAGAAAUUCUAUCAAUGAAAUAAAAUCGUAAAGCAAAAAAUUAUGGAUAAUUUAGAGAGCAAUUAUAUAAAAGUAUGUAGCCGGACUCUAUAUAUAUUAGUUAUUUAUCUAUAUAUAUAUAUAUAUAUAGAGUGGAGUCAUCUUACUUUUAUGAGUAUAGACCGCUUUCUUGUACCAUAAAUUUUUAACCGUUGAUUGAUGGAAUUGUGCGCGUUUGGACUGGAUGAUGGUCCUAUUAGAUGAUGUGGUCCUCAGUUUGAGUGGCGUAAUUAGUUGAAUAGUAUGAUAUAACGAGUGAAUAGAUCAAUGAAUAAUUUAAUGGCCGAAACUUUAUGAGUGUAACGGGCGAGGCCAUAUUCAUAAAAGUAUAGUAGCCGGACUAUAUAUUAUAUAUAUUUAUAUAUAUAUAUAUAUAUAUAUAUAUAUAUUAUAUAUUAUAUAGAGCGGGAGAGAGAGAGCUAGUCUCUAUACUAUUUAUGUACGGGCUCGGUACUAUUAGUUUUUUUUCGAUUUUAAGGGUGUUAAAUCAACGAUCCACACUGUUAAAACUGAUAUAGGGUAUUUAAGUUUUUUAGAAAUAAAAUUUUAUAUUUUUUCGACAUGGUUUACUUUUGAUCAAACAUUUCAAAUUGUCAAUUUUCAAUGCGCUACUAUCACGAGUUUGGAGUUUAACGAUAUAGAAGAAUAUAAUUUUUCAAAUUUUAAUAAAAAAUACUUUUAAACUAUCUAGAUUAAGGUUAACAUUUUGAUCUUGAAUUUAAAGUCCUAUACUCAAAUGCUGCGGCUUCUAUCUAUCGGUAGCACGGAGCGCUUCGUGUGACAAGUUGUUUUCAAUGCUGCGGCUUCUAAUCGACGACCGGUCGUAUAGACUUUGAUCUACACUAUUGAAAUAUUUUAGAAACUAAACUCAUAAUUUUUCGAUAUCAUUUACCUAUCAACAAGUAGUCUAAAUGAACGGCUGAAUAAAAAUCUAUAAAAAAUGAUGAUAAAAGAUUUAAAUUAGAUCAGAUAUACUGAUCUUACUCUAAAUAGUGAAAAAUUUCUAUAAAUUUCAUCACAUUUGGAUUGUUUUACACCAUUAACUUUAAACACACCAUAUCAGCCAUUAAAAAUUGUCAAUUUUGAGGAUCUUUUGAUCAUUAGUCAAUGAUAUCGAAAAAUCUAAAAUUUAGUUUCAAAUACUUUAUGUGUAGAAUAAGUUAACGGAGUGGUAUCGUCGAUUUGGAAGCCGCAUAUCCGAAACAAAAUUUGUAGUACGGAGGUCGUUGCUACCAAUAGCAUAGUAGGCGAACUAUAUAUAUAGAGCUUAGGCUUCUUAUGCUUUUCGAAAGUACGGGAGGCGUGCUUGUAAGUUGUUUCGAUGAUGGGACAAUCCGAUUCGGCGAUCAGGUUCGUUAACUUGAUCUCGCUAUUGGGAACUAUGUAGAAACAAAUUUCAUAUUUUUUUAUUUGUUUGUUAGUGAACGAGUAGCCUCAAAAUGAAGACUGAAAAUGAAAAUCUCUAAAAACAGUGAUAAAGAUUCAAAUUUAUUAAAUCGGAAGAAUUGAUCUUGUAUUGAUGAUAAGAAGAAUUUUCUAUUAAAUUUUCAUGUAAUUUGGAUACUUCUACACGUUGAACUUAAAAUGUUGCCACAAUCGACCGUUUAAAUAGUCAUUUUUUAGACAUUUUGAUCGUUAGUAAUGAUGUCAAAAAAUCUAAAAUUUGGUUUGUAGAUAGUUCCAAUAGGGUAGAUCAUGCUAACGGAGCGUCGAAUCGACGUCCUAUCAUUGAAAACAAAUUACAAGCACGGGGCCUCCGUACUUUUGAAAGCACGGGAAACGGGUAUAUAUAUAUAUAUAUAUAAUUGAGCUCAUAUACUUUUAAAAGUACAAGUCAUUGGUACUUGUAAUUUUCGGCCUUGGAUUUAGGAAUGUGCGGUUAAGAUGAUGUGGGCCCUUAGGGUUGAGUGGUGUGUGUGGUUGGUUGAAUAGUAUAAUCUAACGGGUAAAAUGAUCAAAGGCGUAGAUCUAACGGUAAAAAAAUUACAAGCACCAAGUGCUUUGUAAUUUUACAACACACGUAGCCGGACUCUAUAUAUAUAUAUAAUUGAUCGAGCUAGAAUAUACUUUUAGAAAUAUUACCCCCUUAGUGCUUGUAGGUUUGUAGCCUUUGGAUCUACUCCUUGAUUAUAAUAGCCUUUGGAUCAAACACUAUUUCAUCUAUCACCACCUACCACUAACGACCACAUCAUCUCAACCUACAUCUCUCCAUCCAAUGGCUAAAAACUCAAAAGCACCAAUUUCUUGGUGUUUUUGAGAGCCUUUUUAGCUCAACUCAUACAUAUAUAUAUAAUAUAUAAUAUAUAUAUAUAUAUAUAUUAUGUUGUGUGUGUGUGUUUGUGUGUGUGGUGUGUGUAUACAUAUGUUAUUGUGUAUAUAUAUAUAUAUAUAUAUAUAUAUAUAUAUUAUUAUAUAUAUAAUUAUUAUAUGUAAAAGAAUAAAAAUAAAAGGAUAAGAUAGAUAAGAGAAGAAAAGAGGUAAAAAUGUAAGAAUAAUAAAUUAUUUUUUCUAAAAAUUAUAUAUAAUUAUAAUAAUAAUUAUAAUAUAUAUAAUUAUAAAUAUAAUUAUAAUAUAUAUAAUUAUAAAUAUAAUUAUAUAUAAUUUCUUAUUAGUAUGAUUUUUGUCUUUACUUUUUUUAAUCUUUCUUAUAAUUUACUUUUAUAUUUUUAUUACAGCAAUAGUUCUUUAUUUUUUAGUUAUUUUUUUAUAUAAUUUUUUGACUCUUUUUUUACUAUUAUUUAUUUUAUUUAUAUAUUUAUUUCUACGGAAUUAUACUGCCGCAACGCGUGGGUCCUUCACUAGUCUUUACAAUAUGACCUAAUUUGGACUUUGCAUGCAGAUCAUGUACGUCUACGAAACUAUAGGAAAGUUUGAAUCAUAUGGAGUUGAGCUAGAAUACUAUCGAUAGCAAACGGGCUCCGUUGCCACCCAUUUGUUUUCGAUGAUGGAGCCUCCAAAUCGACGAUCGGCACGGUUGAUGAUCUAUAUCACUUGAAGUGUUUGGAAAUCAAAUUUCAUAUAUUUUUGACAUUAUUCUUUUAUCCAUCGAGUGGACACAAAAAUAAACGGUUGAAAAUGAAUAUUCUUGAAAAAAUGAUGAUAGGAGUCUUGUAAUCAAGAUCAAGAGUAUAGAUCUUGUUUUAAAUAGCUUGAAGAAUUUUCUAACAAAAAUUCAAUUGAUUUGAAUAUCUUUACACCGUUAAACGAGAAAACGCCUCAUGUCGACCAUUAAAAUUACAAAUUUUGAAACCCUUUGAUCAUUAGGCAAAUGAUGUUGAAAAGAUUUGAAAUUUGAUUUCUAAACACUUCAAAUGGUAUAAAUUAUGUUCAACGAUGCCGAUCGUCAAUUUGGAGGCUCUAUCAUCGAAAACAAAUGGGUGGCAACGGAAUCGUUUGCUAUCGAUAGUAUUCUAGCUCAACUCGAAUCAUAUGAUAUCUAUAAUUGAUAAGAGAACAAGUGGUGCACAAAUAAUUUGGUGCAUGCAUCGGAAACAGAUAAUAAUUUUUACUGUUCGUGAUUUACUUCUAAAUACUAUCGCAUCAUUAUUAGUUUUUUAAAGUAAGACAGAUCUAUAUAUCUAUAAUAUGAGAACAUUCCAUUCGCUAUUCACAUGAUUUCAAAAUUUAUACAGUUUGACCAUCCCUAGAGCAAGUGGCAAAGGACUUGGUGGUUGGUACCCAAGACUCAAGUUCGAAUUCUAGUUGAUUCAUAUUUUCAGCUAAGUUUAUUUUUAAAUGAAAUAAACGAAAGGGGUAGCAUGCUACCUAUCUCUCAAAAAAAAAAAAAAACAAUCUCAUGUUGGAAAUCUACCUUACCAAAAUAUUGUUCAACAUGACGAACAAAAUUAGUAGGACAAUCCCCAACAUACUAUUUGGCAAUCGCUUGGCUUUCAUAUUCAUGUCAUGCAUCCAUGCGAUGAGCAGUGCAUGGGAUAAUGUGACGUUCGGAAUUGCCAAAGCUAGUUAGGGUUGAAUUCCUUUUUACAAAGAACUUUAAUAUUUCUCUUUCAAAAACCUAAUGGGCCAUUCAUUUCUGGGUUCAUAAAUUAGUAGGCACAUGUCGCACAUCAUAGUAUUAUGGGUUAGGAGAUUUUAUGAUUUCAAGACUGGAUGAAAUUAGUAUAUAAUUAAAUUCCUAAUAAAUUUGCAAAUAUAAAAUAUAUGAUAGAAAUGCUAUAAAUUCGUAAAACGAAACAACCGCCGACAAUUAUGGGUUGGGCUUUCGAGCAUGGGCCGGACCGAGGCACGGUACGAGUACUCCUGGUCCUGUAAAUCGGCCCGUGUGGUGCCGGCACGUCCUGGCACGAGACGGGCCUAGGCUGUGCCAAGUCUAAGGUGAGGGCCCGGCCUGGCACAGCACGUCUUGUAUGUGCCGUGCCUACCUAGCCUGCACGGCCCGGCACUUUCCAGGGUAUCCCAACUCCCAAUUCUUUGGGAGUUGGCUUUGGGAGUUGGGAGCCACUGUGCCGCCCUUGGGGCUCUCCCAAGGUCUGUUAUGGCAGGCCCUUGGGGCUCUCUCAAGAUAGUUGGGUAUUUUGGUUCUCAUUGGACCAAAUCCCUCCCCAGCAGUUAAAAAUUUAACUGUUGGGGAGGGUAUUUUGGUCCAAAAAAUUUAUAAUUUUUUUUAAAAAUUUAAAAUUCUAUUAUUUUUAUAAAUAUUUUUUAAAAUUUGAAAUUUUUUCACUCAUACAUUAUUUUUCAAUAAUAGUAUUUUAAUUUUUAAUUUUCUAAAAUUCUAUAUAUUUUAAAAUAAAAUUAGAUAAAUAAGAAAUGGGCUGGCCCGAGGCCCGGCCCGGCACAGCGCAGCCCGACUUUGGGGCCGGGCCGCGCCGAGCUGACCUCCGGCCUGUUUCGGCCCGACCAAUGUGGGCCGUGCCGGCCCGGCACGACCCACAUUACACUCCUACGAGACGGGCUCACUUGGUCCUUGGUCAAGGAUAUUACGGUAUUAAAAAUCUGGAUCUAACUGGUCAAUUAAUUCAACCAAUUUGACCGUAAUCCAGCUCGUCGAGUGUUUCAAUUUCAUCUUUCCAACUGAAUUAAUUAAAAAUCAAAUUUUGAAGCAUUUGGACCCAUGGUUCAACCACUGAACGACUGAACAGGAUAAAAAAUCCAACUGCUUAAAAUUGUCUCAGCUCUUUGAGAAUUUUAUUUGAUAUUGAUCUUGCUGAUUUUAUAUUCUAUUACCACAUCCUGUGAAAAAUGAAACCCAAAAUUUUUUAUCCACUUUUAGGCUUUGUUUGGUAUUGAGGUAGAUUUAACGCUAUUAGAUAAAAUAGAGUUAAAGAAAAAGUAUAUAGGGAUAUGUUUCUGCGUUCUCCGAUGAAAUCGCAGAAAAUAUGUCACAACCGACUAACCGUAAUAACGGAAACAAACGGUAUUUUUCCAUUAUUGUUUCUCACCGCAAAAUGCAGUACCGACGUGAAUUUGUCCUCUAAAUUUAAUUAAAUAAAAUUUAAUUGGUUAUAUAAAUUCGUCUUCUAUAAUAUUACUCAAAUACUAAUAAUUAAUAUAUAAAUUAUAUAGAAAUGAUAAAUUAAAUAAAAUUAAUAUAUGAAGGUGUUUACUAAUGGGAUUUUUUGUUUCAAUAAUGUCGCACAGGGCCUUGCAAGUUUAUUUUUGCAAAACUAGCCAGUUGAAAAUUUACUUUGAGAAAGGCCAUGGGUCGCACUGCCACGCAGCCGCAAAAAAGUCAGGCACGCGGGGGGCCGGGGAUGGGCACGUUGUAGAAAGAUUUGGAGAAACCAGGGUAUUGGUUCACCGUGUCUAAACACGGGUGAACAAAUCAACGUGUUUAUUCUGGUCCACGUGAGUCGUGCUGCACCGAAGCGGGGGUGUGGUUUGCAUUUAGACGAGUGGAACCAUUUUACGGUGUCCUUUACUUUCAAUUUUUGCAACCGGCCUGACGUCUUUGUAUUUGGUGCAUCGGACUUAACGUUUUCGGGGUUUGACGGUAGAUUUGGACACCGGUGAUAUGGAUCACCGUGUUUAGAGAACGGUGAAUGGAUUCACGUGUCGGAACGGUGAUCAUUCACGUGUCCUUUUAGAAUCAUAUUUUUUCUUUUUCCGCACCCAUGCGACGUCAUGGUGCUUUAUUAAGCUCGAUCUUUCUUCGUCGUCUUGGAUUUCCCCUUCUCUAUCGCUCUCUUCCUUGCUCUCUUCUUCUCUGGCCGAAAAUGACCCGCGCAGCGCCUGUUGAGCAUCGAAUGCGUAUCAGUCGCCGCUUGUCGACACGACGUCGUCUAAGAACCAUGCGACGGCGCCGGUAGGAGCCCCCCCCCCCCUCAACUGCUGUCCCACCCCGUACCCCCCCCGUGAACUCUGUUUUAGUUCUUUUUUCUUUCAAGUUCCGAUCUAUCUCUUUCUUCUCGACUUCUUCUCUUUGUUGCUCUUCAUUGUUAUGAUUGUCGAAGCCAAGACGGCGCAGCUUUGUUGUGCGAGAAUAAGGUAGCUUGUUCUGUUUCGCUAACCUGAAGCUUUCUCUCUCUCUCUCUCAUGCUUCGGUCUCUGCUAUUUCCUCUGUGGCCCACACUGCCGAGCCGUCGGCGAUCAGGACUACCUUAGUCUGUUUCACACUCUAUUGGAAAGAUUCAUACAGUGCUAUGGAUAUGCCGAAAUAUCUGUUGUUGCGGAUUAGCUUAGCAGUCUCUAAGAAAGUAAAUCCGAAUAAAUAAGCUAAUUAUAUACUGAACUGGUGUUACUUUAGAUAAAUCGCAUCAAUUUACGAGUAGAGCAAGAUGAUGAUAUAUGUAGGCGGAAACAGCUAUAAUUUUGUGAGUUGAGAAUGAUAGAAUUAGUAGAGAUAUUAGCAGAUAUAGGUACCCAUAUUGGGAAGAUUCAAUAUCGAUUAGAGUUGUACCCUGUUAAUGCGUAAGUGGAUAAGUAUUUGGUAACUAGAUAUCAACAGAAGGAGACGUGGUAUAAAUAUGGAUCUGUUAUUUUACAGCGUAUUGGUCAACCCAUCUCUGUCCUUCUAAGCGAUAUUAAGUGGAACGUCGAGAAGGUAUAUAUAUAUGGUGUUAUGAAUUGUAUAGUUGCACAAUAUUUUUUAUAUUUAAAUUUGUAUUUUACUUAUUUAUACAAGAAAGAUUUGAUAUCUUUUUGGAUUGGUGUUUAUUUCAGUUUGAUACGUUUGGCCAAGACGAUAACAUUAUCUGAUCAGACAUUGUUCUACCGAUAUGUCAGAGAGUGGAUCGUUAUAUUACCCUAUCACAUGGAGGUACUGUUUCUGAUCAGUUUAUGGAAAAGGCGAGCUUUUGGGAGCACUUUUAUACGCUUCAAUAUGUACAUCCUAGAACCAGCAGCUAUGGUGGAGAGUAGACGUCGGCAUAACACCCGUUAUAUGUCCACCGAUGCAUAUUCACGAUAGGGAGCCACUUAUGCUGAUGUACGGACCCGACACCAGCACCAGUCCGCCAGGAUCACUCGAGAAGGUGAUAUUGUAUUAUAUUUAGCUCGGCGGCCAGAUCGUGGUCAUACAUACAGACUGCCCUCAUUUCAGGCUCUCACGGCCAGAUCAGCCUUUUAGAUUCUACCACUGGCACAAAUCUACCGGGAGCUUCUGCUUGUGAUUGAGCGGUUUUGUAGAGGCUUGCUAUUAGAGAUUAGCAGUUGGAGAUCUUGGAGCUUUGGUAAUGAGCAAUGAUGUUGGUGGUUGGUCUUGCGGACUGGUAUAGGCGAUGCGGUUGAGGAUGGAUCGGGUGAAGGAGAACUAUGAUAUGUAUUAUUUUAUAUAUUAUUUAAUAUUGGAAUUUAUUUUUGUAUAUUAUAGUUUUGCAUUAUUUGGUAUUGAUUAUAUUAUUGAGAUUUAUUGUUUGUGAUGUUGUAAUGUGUAUUAAUUUUUGUUGAUGUUGUGAUGUUAUUACUUUUGUGAUGUUGUUGAUGUGUAUUGAUAGGGUAUAUUUUAUCGUAUUCUUGUAAUGAAUUAUGUAAUUAUUUUUCUGCGGCAAACUGCUGGUUGGGACUGGGGUAGUUGUGUUGGACACGGUGAAUGGAUAGUGUCAAGCAAGUAAUGGAACGGUGUAUUUCACAGUUAUCAAAAUCCCUCUGAACAACGGAUCAUUCACCUGUGUAUUACAAAUGUAUCCCCUAACCGAAAAUGUUAAGUCAGUUACCAUGAAUACAAAGUAGCAAUUGCGCAAAAAGUAUAGAUAAGGCAUUAAAAUGAGAAGUGUUAAAAUGUAGGUACUACAAUAUAUGAUUAAAGUAAAUGGUUCAUUCGAGAAUCUAAACCCGGAUGAGACGAAUAAAAUAUCACCGUUGAUUAAUGUGCAUAACCGCGUGCGGUUUGAUAUAGUGAGAAUACUGGUGAGACUGAUAUAAGUUAUAUUGAAACGGUGAUUGUUGGCUUUCCUGUGUGGUUCUAACACGGUGUGAAAGAUACCUGUGUUCAGAGCUUGACUGAAUAAUUCUUGGAGUCCCAUCGAGGGCUGGUAUCCAUAUGUAGGCGCUGAUGCGCUGGCGUCAAUUAUUGAGCGCAGUCCCUGUGUGGUACUUCAGGGUCAAGUUUUUGUUAACUAAAAAAUUUAUACUCACAAGAGAGCCAAUUUUGCAAAUAAGAAUAUUGCCAAGGUAGCGGCUUAUAUAUGCAAAUUAAAGAACGUAAUUUUAUAAUAUUUUUGAUCAGGUUUAUAUUAUUUUCGGAUGUUAUUGGAUUACGAAGCAUAAAUUUUUGGAUUUUAUUACGGACGAGACGUGUGAAGGACACGAGUAAAUUUCUCACGGCGCUGAUACCUUUUGUUCAGGCCAGGAUAAAGUCGAAGUGAAAGCUCCUAUGAAGGUUUACCACAAAAGGUAAAGCGGCAGGAAGCUAAAAACUCAUAGAGGCUUUACCGCACCCGAUCAUUUCCCGCUGGGUCACGACCGACCGAUGUCAUCACUGCGCAAGUCAAGGGAUCUCGGGUCGCGCGCGAAUGAGAAGAAGCGUCUCUCGUGCUUUGAAGUGGCUGUCGCCGCUCAACGGCGUCGGGCGGCAGAGGCGACGAGUGAUGUACUUCUUGAAUUCAAGAAGGUUGGACGACAAGGGCCGCCCUUAUUUCGCUGCCGUCACCCGACCCUUCUCCCGCGCCUCUCAAGUAGACGACCGCCUUCCUCCCCCUCCCUUCCGCGCUCCGCAGCCGCGUCUCUCCAUCUCACCUCCCGGUACGCCGGACGUUCCCCUUUCUCGCCUCGAACUCACCUCCCCUCGGCCGACUCCCCUCAUCGUCAUAUUAUUCUCCUCGCCGACCGGCGCGUCCUCCCCUCUCGUCCCUGUGCUCAACAAACAACUAACAAUCGACGAGCAGAGCAGGAGCAGGAGAGGAGCAAGAAGCAGGGAGCUUGCAUCCCGAGUGCGAUAAAACUCAUGCGGGAAGUCGUGCGCGCGGCUCCCGGCGUCUGCGGGCUCCACGCACUUCACCUUCGACCGGCGGCAACUGCAGCGCGAUCAGAGUCGGGCGGGAGUCGCGCGACAGGACGAGAUCGUCGCGAACGUCGUGGCGGCCGCCGAGGCCGCCGUCGGGCACGUGCCCAGGAAGUGGGCCAAUGUGCGCGCCUUCCAUAUCAAGGCCGCCGAGUCGCUGGCCCUGCCCAUCUACUACGACCCCGCCUCCGGAAUGAGAAUCGAGAGCAAAACCAAGGACGAAGUUAUAGCCAACGAAGAUUCUACCGAGAAGAAGCUUAAAAAAAGAAAGAGAAGCAUGGAAUCUGAAUGACUGCCGAUUCUCGGAGCAGUCGAAUAUAAAUUCAUACAUUCAUACAUUAGGAUGAGUUGCAUAACUUUUUUUUUUUUCUUAAAUUCACUUGUUAUCUUGGCCUUUUGAAUGAGGAGAUCUUGUAGAAUCUUGUGCUUGUAUUUGGUUCUCUCGUAUGAUACUACUGAUGUCAAACUAUUGUACAAGCUUCAAUCAGUUCUUGUAGUAUUCAUAGAUUGAGAUCUUAGUAGUUAGUAGGAGUCCAUGAGUUAGCUGAAUUUGUGAUAUCGUUUAUGGAUUAGUACUCGUGAGUUUGAAAAUGUCGUUAAUUAUGCAUUUCCUGAUCUCCUCAGAAGAUUUUACUAUGUACUCCUUGACCUGUAUUAUCUUGAUUUAGUUGUCUAGUUUUUAGUGCAAGUUUAGGUGCCAAAUCAAAUGAAUCCCAAUUUUGUUUUGAUACUGACAGUAGGUAUAUUAGCAUGUCAUAAUAGAUAUAUGUUCGAAAACAUACUAAUAGAAGGUGAUCCAUUGUCCUAAUAUACCGAUAACAGAUGUAAGGGAUGAUGCUUAUCAGUUUUAAGGCAUCAACCAUGUAAUGUUUGGUUCUCAUCAGUCGAAGUUGGUAAUCAAACAAAUGUUCUGGUCACAUAUCUUGCGCAUGAUUUUGUGAAAGCUUCAAAGCACAGAGAACUCUCUCUUUUGUUCUAAAAUGUUAAAAAUAAUAAAAUCGAAGAUGGAUUUAUUCUGUUCUUUAAUCCUGAUGCUUUAUUUCAUUUACCAGAAGAGAAAAUUAGGCUUUUUUUUUUUCUUUUUUUUUUUUUUGGCGUACGUGUACUGUGACUAGAAUGAUUGUUUAAUAUGUAACUUCAAAUCAUUACUUGAGGAGAAGAGUCUUUCAAACUAUUUGAUAGAAUUUAGAGGGGCUAAUUACAGAAAUUAAAAUUUCAGGAGGUUGUUUAGGGAAAAAAUGCAAAAGUUUUGGGGGGCGUUUGUACAUUUUUGCGUUGGUCUAAUGGCUGUAUUAAGGCACAUCAAGCAAUCGAAGAAGUUAUAACAUUUCGACUCAACGAUACCGGGUCAUUUUUUUGUUUAUUCUUAUUGGAUUAAUUCUAAGUUUCUAGUUCUUUGCUUUGAAUACUUGUUGCUGUUUUGAUUUUCCGAAGCUACGUUUGAAUUGGUGUACCCAAGAUUGUAUACUAUUUCGGUAAAAAAAUUUCCUAAUUGUUUGUACUCAAUGAGAAAAUAUAACAUCUAGAACAAAAUUGGUAAUAUAAAGUGUAGGGCAAAUUUGCUAUUCUCGCCAUUUUUUUACAUUAAUUUCAUAUGAUUGGAUGUGAAAUGCCAUAUGUAUGAAAAGAACUCUAGUACGGAGCUUCCCAACGAUGUUCGCCAUAUGCUAUUUUUAUUUUUGUGCACAAGUAAUUCUUUUUUUAAAUUUUAGUAUUAAAAAUAUCCAGCGAUCGUUGGAUGGAAGCAAAACUACAAGUGAUAGCAGAUUAGAAGUUUCCUAACGAGAUGCCGUUGGGGAGCAUUCUUCCGAAGUUUAUUCUGUUUGCAUAUCAAAAAGUGAGUUAUAAAUUUUACACUCAUCCAUUAGAUAAUUUUUUUAAAUUUUUAGUAUAAAAAAAUUAAUAAGAUAUUAGUCCUUUAGUUGGGAUGUACCCAUUAGUUUUACAGAUUGUCGCUAUCGUUGUAGUGACAACUGCCCCAACGGACGGCCGCCCCAAUACUGAAGAUAUUCCUGACGGUCACCCCAAUACACAAAUAUUGAUGUGUAGAAUUAGGAAUGUAAAACGGGCUGCUUGGUCCGGCACGACUAUGGGUCGUACCAGGCACGGCACGGAUACUAUAGAACCUGUGCCGGACUCACCCAAUCCGACAUCACCGAUCGUGCUGGGCCACUUCAAUUGAGCCCGUCGGCUUGAUACGGCACGACUCGUUACGGGUCUGGGCUUUGCCAGGCCAACAGUUAGGCCCGUGGUUGGGCACGGCAUAGCCCGCAUGAGCCGUGCCUACAGAGCCAGCAUGGCCUGGUCUUGAGACUCCUGUGGCCCUUAGGGAAUUGGGGACCAGGCCCAACUCCCCAAGCUGUCUUACGUCUCUGGGGACAAAAAAAAAACAACUUUUCUAAAAAACUCUUUUUUUAAUAUGUUUAGAAAAGAGUUUUUUAAAAAAAGUAUAAAAAUUUUAUAAAAUUUUAAAAUUAUAUUAAACAUUUAUUACUUUAUAAAUAUNGCGGCCUCCGCCGAGGCCGCCGUCGGGCACGUGCCCAGGAAGUGGGCCAAUGUGCGCGCCUUCCAUAUCAAGGCCGCCGAGUCGCUGGCCCUGCCCAUCUACUACGACCCCGCCUCCGGAAUGAGAAUCGAGAGCAAAACCAAGGACGAAGUUAUAGCCAACGAAGAUGCUACCGAGAAGAAGCCUAAAAAAAGAAAGAGAAGCAUGGAAUCUGAAUGACUGCCGAUUCUCGGAGCAGUCGAAUAUAAAGUCAUACAUUCAUACAUAAGGAUGAGUUGCAUAACUUCUUUUUUUUUUUUCUUAAAUUCACUUGUUAUCUUGGCCUUUUGAAUGAGGAGAUCUUGUAGAAUCUUGUGCUUGUAUUUGGUUCUCUCGUAUGAUACUACUGAUGUCAAACUAUUGUACAAGCUUCAAUCAGUUCUUGUAGUAUUCAUAGAUUGAGAUCUUAGUAGGAGUCCAUUAGUUAGCUGAAUUUGUGAUGUCGUUUAUGGAUUAGUACUUGUGAGUUUGAAAAUGUCGUUAAUUAUGCAUUUCCUGAUCUCAUCAGAAGAUUUUACUAUGUACUCCUUAACCUGUAUUGUCUUGAUUUUGUUGUCCAUUUUUUAGUCCAAAUUUAGGUGCCAAAUCAAAUGAAUCCCAAUUUUGUUUUGAUACUGAAUUACUGAUAGGUAUCUUUGCAUGUCAUAAUAGAUAUAUGUCGAAAACAUACUCAUAGCAGGUGAUCCAUUGUUCUAAUAUACCGAUAACAGAUGUAAGGGAUGAUGCUUAUCAGUUUUAAGGCAUCAACCGUGUAAUGUUUGGUUCUCAUCAGUUGAAGUUGGUAAUCAAACAAAUGUUCUGGUCACAUAUCUUGCGCAUGAUUUUGUGAAAGCUUCAAAGCACAGAGAACUCUCUCUUUUGUUCUAAAAUGUUAAAAAUAAUAAAAUCGAAGAUGGAUUUAUUCUGUUCUUUAAUCCUGAUGCUUUAUUUCAUUUCAUUUACCAGAAGAGAAAAAUAGGUUUUUUUUUUUUUUUUUUUGGCGUAGAUGUACAAGAUUUGUGACUAGAAUGAUUGUUUAAUAUGUAACUUCAAAUCAUUACUUGAGGAGAAGAGUCUUUCAAACUAUUUGAUAGAAUUUAGAGGGGCUAAUUACAGAAAUUAAAAUUUCAGGAGGUUGUUUAGGGAAAAUAUGCAAAAGUUUAGGGGGUGUUUGUACAUUUUUGCCUUGGUCUAAUUGCUGGAUUAAGGCACAUCAAGCAAUCGAAGUUAUAACAACAUUUCGACUCAACGAUAUCGGAUCAUUGUUUUGUUUAUUCUUAUUGGAUUAAUUCUAAGUUUCUAGUUCUUUACUUUGAAUACUUGUCGCUGUUUUGAUUUUCCGAAGCUACGUUUGAAUUGGUGUACCAAAGGUUUGAAUUGGUGUACCAAAGAUUGUAUACUAUUUCGGUAAAAAAAUUUCCUAAUUGUUUGUACUCAAUGAGAAAAUAUAACAUCUAGGACAAAUUUGGUAAUAUAAAGUCUAGGGCAAAUUUGCUAUUCUCGCCAUUUUUUUACAUUAAUUUCAUAUGAUUGGAUGUGAAAUGCUAUGGGCCUGUUUGUUUCGAGGGAAGUGGGGUGGAAGUGGGACGGGAAAAGUGAUUUUCGGUGAAAACUGACCACUUCCGCCGUUUAGUUCACCAUAAUUUUAUUACGCCCGAAAGUCCAGUUCACCUAAAAUAAUGAACUUGACUUCGCCCUCCCAUAGGGUGAAGUCAAUUCCGGUGAAGUGAAAAAAAGGCAAAAAUGGAUUAAUGUGUUAGGGUUACCUUUUAUAAAAUAUGAUCAAAUUGAUUAGGUAAGCUUUAAUAUAUUUUUUGUUUAAUUUGUAUAUUUAGAAAAUGAUGAAAAAUGAAUUUGUUAAAUGUUAAUAAUUUUUUAACUUUAGAAUUUUAUUUGUUGCAUUAUUAUAAUUUAUAUGCAAACAAAUAAUAUUAUUUUUUAAAAUUUUAUUUUAUAAUUAUACAUAUAUAUAAUUAUAUACAUAUAUCAUUAUAUUAAUUUUUAUUUAUUAUAAUUUAUUAUUUACUAUAAGUUACAAAAUAGACAAUGAUAUUAUUUUGGAGGUAAGUAUACGGGGGUGGAGAGCUACACUUUUUACGUUAUCUACUUCCUAUCAAACAAAUAACAGAACUCGUAGAACUGCACUUCCACAGUUAGAAACAAACAGCAGAAGUGAACUAAUUUUCACCCCAACUCCACUUCAACUCAAAGUUUAUUUCCACCCCAAGUCUACUUACGUUGAAACAAACAUGCCCUAUAUGUAAGAAAAGAACUUUAGUAUGGAGCUCCCCAACGAUGUUUUAUUAAGAUGUUGCAAUUCGUCGCCACAUGCUAUUUUUAUUUUUGUGCACAGGUAAUUCUUUUUUUGAAUUUUAGUAUUAAAAACAUCCAACGAGCGUUGGAUGGAGGCAAAACUACAAGUGAUAGCAGAUUAGAGGCUCCCUAACGAGACGCCGUUGGGGAGCAUUCUACCGAAGUUUUAUUCUUCUUGUAUAAAAAUGAGUUAUAAAUUUUACACUCAUCCAUUCAAGAAUUUAGAUAAUUUUUUUAAAUUUUUAGUAUAAAAAAAUUAAUAAGGUAUUAGUCCUUCAGUUGGGAUGUACCCAUUAGUUUUACAGAUUGUCGCUAUCGUUAUAGUGACAACUGCCCCAACGGACGGCCUUCCCAAUACUCAAGAUAUCCCUGACGGUCACCCCAAUACACAAAUAUUGAUGUGUAGAAUUAGGAAUGUAAAACGGGCUGCUUGGUCCGGCACGACUAUGGGUCGGACCAGGCACGGCACAGAUACUAUAGAAGCUGUGCUGGACUCGCCCGAUCCAACAUCACCGAUCGUGCUGGGCCACUUCAAUUGAGCCCGUCGGCUUACUUGGUACGGCACGACUCGUUACGGGUCUGGGCUUUGCUAGGCCAACAGUUAGGCCCGUGGUCGGGCACGGCAUAACCCGCAUGAGCCGUGCCUACAGAGCCAGCAUGGCCUGGUCUUGAGACUCCUGUGGCCCUUAGGGAAUUGGGGACCAGGCCCAACUCCCCAAGCUGUCCUAAGUCUUUGGGGGACAAAAAAAAAAAAAAACUUUUCUAAAAAACUCUUUUUUUAAUAUGUUUAGAAAAGAGUUUUUUAAAAAAAAGUAUAAAAAUUUUAUAAAAUUUUAAAAUUUAUUUUAAACAUUUAUUACUUUAUAAAUAUUUUAAUAAAUUUUAUUUCUUUAGCUAACAUAUUAUAAAAAGAAAACCAUUUUAAUUUUUUAUUUUUUAAAAAGUUAUAAAAAUUAAAGGGCCCGGAGAGCGGCCCAGUACAGCCUAUGCCAUUCGGGCUGGAGAGUUGAACAUCCAUAAAAUUUGGCCCGGCCCGGCUUGAAUUCUAAUAUGGCCGGCCCUGGCCGACCCCUGGCCUGGUUUGGCCCGAGUGAAUGUUGGCCGUGCCGGGGCGGCACGUCCCACAUUACGUCCCUAGCGGAAUGUGAAGUUUUGUAUUUACUUUUUAGGUUAACUAUAUAUAAUUUUCUGUAAAUAUAUUGAAUAACAAAUAUAUUUUUAUAAAGUUUAAUUUUUUAUUUUUGUAUCUAUAAAAAUUCUGUCGUUUUUACAUAUACCGAUGUUGUUAGGAGCUGUUAGAAAAAUAUAGUAAACCAUGAGUACUAAAAUACUUAAUGCUGGUUAGCGAAUGAGUUAAGUUGAUUUUUUAAUUCUUUUUAUAUUAUUAGGUAAAAUAUUUUUUGGAAUGAUAUUUCUGCACAAUUUUAGCAGUUGAGGCUUUUGAAAAGACUAGUUAUAAUAUGCGAGCGAUGCACAUCACAUUUAAUUAAAUUAAAUUUAUAUUUAUAUUUUAAAUUUAAAUAAUUAUUAGUGGUAUAAAUCUAUUUGUCAAUUACUUUUUUUUAUUUUAAUUUUUUAAUGUGUAUCCACAUUUUAAAAAUUUGAAGUAAUUCAAAAUUUUAAAUUAAUGAAUUCAGAUUUAAUUAUAAACAAAACUCCAAAUUUCAAGUUAAUUUUGAAUCCAUAAUUUGAAUAUAAAUAGUUAUUAGACACAAUGUGUUUACACGUCAAAAUGAAUGGAUUAAUUGCAGUUGAAUUUCUAUUUUGAAUUCAGUAUUUAAAUUAUGUUUCAAAAUUUAAAUUCAAAAUUAAAAUUUGAAUUUGAAUUCAAUUUUUUAAAUUCAAAACACAAAUAUGCGUUUAAAUUUGAAUUUAAAAUCUGAAAUUAAAAUUUAAAUUUAAAUUCAAAUUAAAAUUUUUAAUUUAAAAUUUGAAUUCAAAAUCUGGAUUUAAAGAUAAAAUUAAAUACUAAAUCUAUAUUUGAAUUCAGAAAUGAAAUAUGAAUCCGACUCGGGUGCUUCUAAUAGCACCAAGCACUUGGUGCUACCAAAAUUUUCACCGUUAGGUUUACCUCUUUGACCAUUUCUAUCCAUUAGAUCAUAUUAUUCAACCAACCAUCAACUCAACCAUAGGAGAUCACUAUCAUGGUAACUACCAUUCAUCCACACUAACCGAACUCAUAUAUAUAUAUGAUGUAUUUAUAUGUAUAUGAUAGUAGUAUAUUAUAUAUUGAGUUCGAUUAUGAUGUUUUUAAUUGUAUCAAGCAUACUAUCAAGUUUCUUACCAUUAGAUUUAUAUCCCUUUCAUAAUUCUCACAUAUUAGAUUAUAAUAUUCAAUGGACCACCUACUAAAUUUUUGAGGACUUAGAAGCAUAUAUAUGGUAGUUAUAUGAUUCAACCAUUUUUUUUAUCUUUCCUGAAUCUCAGGACCAACUGCCUCUUAAAUAGCAAACGUGCAUAUUACCGUAAAAAUUGCACGUGCGUAUAUUACUAUACUUGUUCUCGAGGCGACCGCGCAUGAAUAGCCCUUCUAUAUCGGACUCCAAACAAAUCCUCAACGGCAACAGGAGAAUUACUGUUGUAGAUUUUACGAAGAUAUUUUCGCUUCCUCCAUCCCACGUCAGUCUGCAGCUGCGCUAGGGGUUCCCAAGCAGUCGUGCACGCGGCCCGCCAUCCCGCGCUCCCCGCUAUGCCCCACCGCCGACUCCUCCGCCUCCGCUCCCCGCAGUACCCCUAACCCUAACGCAUAACCUUCCCUCCCUCCGAUCUCUAUUUUUUCCUCCCGAUCGGUUAGUGUGGAUGAAUGGUAUCCUCUCCAUCUCUUUCAUCUUUUUCUGGCCCGCCUUGAGAGAGAGUGGGGGGAUUCGUCGUCGGGAUGGAGGCGCCUCCGCUGUGCGAGUUCUGCUGCGGGCAGCGGGCGCUGGUGUACUGCAAGGCGGACGGGGCGCCGCUCUGCCUGCCGUGCGACGGCAUCGUCCACUCCGCCAACGCGCUCUCCCGCCGCCACCCCCGCGCCCUCCUCUGCGACCGCUGCCUCUCCCUCCCCGCCGCCCUCCGCUCCCCCGACCUCCGCCUCUCCCUCUGCCACUCCUGCUCGAACAACCACCACCACCACCGCGCCGCCCGCCUCCUCCCCCUCGCCUGCUACUCCGGCCCCGCCGCCCCCGCCGACCUCUCCUGCCUCUGGUCCGAUGCCAAUUCCAAUUCCACCGUCCCCGCCUUCGACCUCCCCCCUCUCCCCGACGAGGGCCUUGCCACGAUCGUCGACCCCUGGAUCGCCGCCGCUUCCUCCUCCUUGCUCGUGCCUGAUGCCGAAGAACUGCAGGACUUCUUGCAGAACCGAUCUGAUCUGCCCAAGGCAAUAAUCCUGCUCCCAUUGCUCUCUAAUGUCUAAAAUAAAAUAUCAUAUUCCACCAUCAAGUUUUUUCUUUUUUUGAAAAAUAUAAGAUCAGUCACUUUCAAGGUAAAAAUAUACUGUUCUACUAAAUUAUGAAUAACAAUACUACUCAAGGAGCGAAAACCAAACUCCUUAUUUUUAAUUAUGGAUGAGGAUUCUCAUACCGAAUAAGUUAAACUUGAAUAACUUAUUCCGACAUCUAAACAUAACUAAAUUUGUUUUCUUUUAAUUUCUUAUUGAUUUUGCUAAGAUUUUCCAUUUUAUGAACUAGUGCUGAUUGAGUUUGCAUUGCCAUGCUGUAUUUUAUGCCUUCUUGUUAAUCGGUUUGAUAAUUUCCUCGUAUUACUCCUAAUCCUUAAAGGGGCAAAGCAUUAUUUUUAUGUUUUAUUACUGCCAUUUAUUAUAAGUUGCAUAAACUUGGGGUGUACAGGUGAAUUGUCCUCGUUCUAUGGGAAUAUACAAUAAUGAUCACGAUGUGCUCUACGACUGUGUCAGCAGUGGUGACAUUGGCUUCACGAUUGACGACGAUGGCGAGAUGAUUGGCUACUUUCAUAGCGUUGCCGAGUACCCAUACCAAGGGGCGAGAUUGGAGGGCGUAUUGUCGGAGAAGAACAUUUCAGCUGCAGAUUCCUGUGGUCGUGUCGAAAAUGCUUUAGAGGUACUUCCUGUUUCUCGAUGCACUUAGUAGUCCGAAUUUGUCUCGAUGGAAAAGAAAUUUGAUGAACUUUGAUGCGAUUCUCUAUGCGAUGUUAAAUUAGAUGUCAAAAUAAAGGCGACAUGAUGCCAAUUGAUAAGUUAUUAGUGAAGUAGCAAUACAUCGUUAUGAUGAUUGUUUUCUUGAAGUGCAAUUAUUUCCAAAAGCGAAAAGAUGGACUAUUCGUUUGCGACACAAAAACCAAUUAUAAUUUGCGAUACUUGAUUUUGAGGAUUAGCCACUUGGUCCCAAGUUGUGUAAUCGAAAGGUUUUCCAUAUUAUCUCCUUUGUAUCAUCUUUUUAUUCAUCUCAGUCCUCUUCGAAAGACAUAUUUGUUAGUGACACAAAAAAGCCAGUCUCCCUACUGUUUGCAUCUGAAGCAUCAGUACCAAUCGCCACUUUUAGAUGGUUUGUGAGGUUUUAAAAUGAAAACCACUGAACCUUACUAGAUCCAGAAAACAAAGGACAGUGUUCUGAGAAUGGCAGACACUGGCAAUGGUUCAGGGAGCAACAAUGACAAUUUCUCGUGGAAUCACAACCAGAGAGAGAGGGAUAGAGAAAGAGAAGAAAAGGAAGAAGUAGAAGUUGGGGAAUAAGGCUUCGACUACACAAACUUGAAGAAGAUAACAUAGAUCUUGACUUUCCGAAAUUUUUAUUCUCCGAAUACAAUGGUCUAUUAGGGCUGAUUUAUUGGAAAAAUAUAUAUCUUACUCCUAAUCUAAAAGUCAAAACUAUUUGCUCAAUUUUUAAUGAUUUAUUCAAAUGAAAAUACAUAUCCUAAUUUUUAAUGAUUUUAAAACCUUCUGUCCACUAUGUUCUUGUAUGCUUUACUGUGGUUUUGUUUAUAUUUUUCCUUUACCAAUAUGGGAGAAAAUGUAAUCACACAAUAUUAUGCAGGCAUCAGUGAAUUAAACAUCUAACAAAAUUGCUCGGCUACUCUAUUACCACCUCACAAUCUUUUCCAACGUCUGGCUCUUUUGGCUUUUUUAAGCAUUCGUUGUUGAAUCCUCUGUAGCAACUAAUGAUUGUGGUUAAUAACGGAAGCUUUAAUGACAACAUUGAAUAAAUCUAAUUGUUGAAUGGACAAAAGCUGCCCUCUAUCUUGACUACUACAAAGAUUUAAUCUUCAUUUUAGAUUCUUGAAUUGCUCUUCCAUUCUGGCCUCUUGGAUGCAGGUCCCAUUGUUCAGAACCACAACUGUUUGCCAACAUAUUAUUUUCUGCUAAGACUUUUUGUAUCAUUCCUAUCAGACCACUUGACUUCCUGUGUGAAGUGUAAGGAGUAAGCAAUAAAAUAUCCGAUAUAAUACUCUUACGGUAAGCUACUAAGUUUUGGCCAUCAAUUUGCUACACAACUUCUGAAAGUAUUUUCCUGCGUGCAUUGUUUAUGUUUAUUAUCAUGCAUUGAGCUUCAAUGUAGAAAAGAUAAUAUUUGGUAUUUAAUCAUGUAGUUUAUCCAAGCUUUUGAAAUGUUGGUGUUUGAAAUUUCAAUAUUUUGUUGCAGGCAUCUUCUUUAGUCCAAUAUGAUUGCAGGACGAUUCCUUCUUCCCAUAUUGUUGAGCCAGCUAAUGUUCUGCAGGCUUUGAGUGAUUCGGACCACUUCUUAUUAAGCAUGAGCAGCAACAGAAACAUAAACCUGAGUUUUCCUCACGGCAAUGUCUAUCCGAAUAUCUCACUUUCAAUCUCAAACCUCACUGGUGAAAGUAGCGUAGCUGACUACCAGGACUGCGAGGCAUCACCUAUAUUCCUUGCGGGCGAGUCACUUUGCGAUUCUAAUAUGGAAACUGGGCAACCGCAGGCAAGGAAUGAAGCGAAAAUGAGAUACAACGAGAAGAAAAAAAGCCGGCUGUAUGUGGUUUGACCUGAUACUAGUUGUUCGUAUGAUUCUGCUUAUAUACUUUACUAUGUUAGCUAUCUACAAUUUUAAAUAUCUAUAAUUUAACUAUAUUCGCUUUGGGUUGGUAGCUUUGUGCAGUUUUCUUGGUUUCUAGCAAUUGUCCACUAAGGUAGAAAACACAUUUGAACACAGAGUAGUACUUUUAUCACUAGAGGAAAAGUAAUCUGCAACAGUGGCACUAAGUCAGUCGUACUUAGUCCAUCCCAGCAUUGAUGCAAGCACACCUAUAUUAAUGAUCCAUUCCAUUUGAUGCAAUCAAAAGUGUUGGAAGUUUCUAGAAACUAAAGAGUCAUGGUGUUUGGACAAAUUCGGGUGAAGUAGUUUACGAACUGACACUCUCUAGAGCUAAUAUAAGUUGUUUGCUCAUUUAAGAGUCUAUUCCUCGAGUUCCUGCACAUAUGUAUAUACAUUUUUCCUCAAAUAUAUGUAUAAAUGAGUCGGCAUGCAUUGGACGUAUGUAUAAAAAUAUCUUGCACCAUGGAACGGUCAUCUCAUCUGAUAGAAGCAUUCAAUAUUUUAUUGUUGGAAUAUGAAAUUCUUUUGAAAAAAUAGGCAGAAUAACAAGCUGGCUGUAAUAUCUUUGCACUCAUGUAUUUUUCUCAGAGGAUUCUAAUAGUCAUUUUAGGUAUAGAUUAGUGGACAUUCGCAUGUUUGGUUGCGAAUGAGAAUGCAUUUAUAGACCAUUGUCUGUGUACAGCAUGCCCUUUCUCUAGCGAGGCUUCUUAGACAUAGUAAGUGUUAGAAAUGGUGCUGUUUUAAUCGUAUAGAGUUGCUGCCCUUAAAGUAACAUAGUGCACGCGCAUCUUUACUUCGAAAUGAUACACUGCAUUAUAACUUUCUGACAUUGGUGAUUAUUGUGGACAUUUUCUCGUGUGUUUGGAAAUCUAUGUAAUACUUGAAGAAGGUCCUUAUCUAGUGUUCGCACAUAAUUCUUGCAUUUGUUGGUGGCUUCACUCUCUUCUGUUAUAAGGUAGCUCUGUUUGUUGGGAUUGUGAUUGCAUAUAUGACAGUAAAUUUCGUACGUUUUAAAACGACAUUUUGAAUAAAUGCACUUAUGCAGCUUUGGGAAGCAGAUAAGAUACGCAUCACGGAAAGCAAGAGCGGAUACAAGAAAACGCGUCAAGGGCCGGUUUGUCAAGGCUGGUGAUGUUUACGACUACGACCCUGUCAAAAAGGCAAGCAACUAAAAGGCAAAUUCCUCGGGAUCUUCUUGCCUUCGUGAAGCAGCAGGUACUGACGACAGGUCUUACUGUUAUUUGAUUUGGAGAGAUUCUGAAGGCGAAAUGAGUUUUUUGGCGGCCGCUAAAUAUAACGUGUGAUUGAAGAUAAUCACACCUCAAUUUUGAGCCUCUGCGGAGGCUAUUCCUUCUCCUUUUUUCCCCCUUCUUUUUGCGUCCUUUUCAAUUCUUUGACCGUCAGAGUUGCAUAACUCUUGGCCUGCAAUAAUGUUAUUGUUGUUCUGCGUGUUAUCAUAAUUCGGAAUGUGAAGUGAUUUCUACAGUUUUGCUCGAGAAAAGACGUGUCUUUUAAAUUUUGCUGAUUCAUAGCACACGUUAAAUAUGAACAAUAUUCAUAUAAUACGUAUGAUUAAAGUCAAUGCAUCUAUUGUAUCUGUUGAGCUAAUUAUAUUGGGCCUAUUUCUUAUUUGGGCCUUGCUAUUUGGGCUAUAUAAUUUGGUGAAGUCAAAAUCUCCUCUUUCUAUAUUUUCUUAUCAUGUAUGUGGGCUCCUAUUUGUAAGCUUUUGGAUCAUAAUUCUUUUGAUCCAAAUGCCCAUAUUGUUAGCCUCUUCUCUUAGGGAGCUAAAGUGGGAUAUUAGAAUAGAGAAAAAAUAGAGAGAGAAGUAGAGAGUGAGAAAAGAAGUGGGAGAAAGAGAGAAACCCUAGAGUUGGUUUUGAUCUUGGUUCUAUCAAGAAGGAGGUGAGAUCUUCCUUGUGAGGUGUGGUUUACACCAUUUGGAUAGAGCUAGAGAUUAUUGGAGCUCUCUUUUAUAUCUUAGAGUUAAGGUGAUAUUUCUCCCAUUUGAAUCUCUCUUGUAAUCUCCAAAUUUAUAGCGGAAGCUUCUUUUGCAUUGUUCUCUUGUGGAUGUAGACAUAGCCGAACCAUGUAAAUCCUUGUGUUCUGGUGAUUUGGUUUAUUUUGUUAUUGCUCUUGUGCUUGGCUCUCCAUUUGAUGCUUAUAGAGAGUGGGUUGUAAAAUUGCCCACCAAGUAUUUGUGAAAUUGCCAUCAAUAUUUUUCACCCUCAUUUGACAACAAUUGGUAUCAGAGCUUGAUUGGUGGUUAUCUAAGCAUUCAUUUGUGUUUAUUCACUCAUCUUUCAAAUGGAGAAAGCUAUGGAAUUUGAGAAGUUGAAUGAGAGCAAUUGGCCUACAUGGAAAAUCAUGAUAGAGGAUUAUUUAGUUGCAAAAGAGCUUGAUUUACCAAUAUUAGGAAAAGGUGCAAAGCCUACUAAUAUGGAUAAUCAUGAAUGGGAUAUACUUGACCGAAAAUGUUUGGCGGCGAUUAGACCAUGCAUUUCAUCAUCAAUUUUAUUUGAUGUCUAUCAAUGCAAGACCGCAUCCGAAUUGUGGGAGACUUUGGAGCAAUCAUUUGAGCAACCUUCCGGUGUGAACAAGAUGCAUGCAAUGAAGAGACUCUUUCUCUUGAAGAUGCAAGAAGGUUCUACUAUUCGUAAGCAUGUGAGUGAGUUUAACUCUAUUGCGGCACAAUUGAAGUCUCUCAAAAUUAACCUUGAUGAAGAAGUCCUUUGUUUACUACUUUUGAGUUCUUUACCUUCAAGUUGGGAUACUCUUGUUACUAUGGUGGUGAACACAAUGGGGAACAAAUUCAAGUUGAAUGAUAUUGUUGCUUCAUUGUUGAAUGAGGAAACUCGCAAAGCCACAAAUCAAUUGUCUAGUGAUUUGAGUCAAGCACUAACUAUUGAUGAAAGAGGAAGGUCACCGAAGCGAGGCCAAUAUUCCAACACAAAGGGAAGAUCUCAAAGUAAAGGAAGAUCAAAAUCACAAGGUAGAAAGCUUACUUGUUGGUAUUGCAAGAAGACGGGUCAUGUAAGAAAGAAUUGUUAUGCUUUAAAAAAUAAGCAAAAAGGUAAAGACAAGGAUGUCAAGAAUGAAGCUAACAACACUUCGGAUGGUAAAAGUGGAGUCACAUUAAGUGUUGCUUGCGCGGUCUCUUCUUGUGCAAACACUUUGGUUUUGGAUUCCGGUGCUUCUUUUCAUAUAUGUCCCGAUCGAUCAUAUUUUUCUACAUACAAAGGAGUAGAUGGUGAAUUUGUUUAUCUUGGUAAUGAUCGGGCAUGUAAAAUUAUUGGCAUGGGUGACAUUGUCAUAAAGCAAACAAAUGGUCAAAAGCAUACAUUGACAAAUGUGCGUCAUGUUCCGGAGAUCACAAAGAACUUAAUAUCGGCGGGACAAUUGGAUGAUUCCGGUUUUGUUAUCACUUUCGGAAAGGGCUCUUGGAAGAUAUCAAGGGGUAGUAUGACUAUUUUGAAAGGGCAAAAGGAUGGAAGUCUCUAUACACUUCAUGGAACCGCUCAAAAGGGUGAUGAUUCAAAUUUGAUGGUUACUACCGCAAGCAAAGGCGAAAAUAUGCAAGUUUGGCAUAAUCGGCUUGGUCAUCUAAGUGAGCAUGGUAUGAAGGUAUUACAAGAACAUAAACUUAUUCCUUCCUUUGAGCAUUCAUUUCUUGAUUUUUGUGAACAUUGCAUUAUGGGAAAACAACAUAGAGUUAAGUUUAAAAGAAAUGAGAUGCAUAGAAAGGGCAAGCAAUUGGAAUUGGUUUAUUCCGAUGUUUGCGGUCCUUUCAAUAUUAAGUCUCUUGGAGGUGCAUACUACUUUGUUACUUUCUUAGAUGAUUAUUCUAGAAAGUGUUGGAUUUAUCCUUUGGCUUCAAAAGAUCAAGUUUUUGAAACUUUUAAGAAAUUUAAAGCCCGUGUUGAAAAGGAAAGUGAUCAUUUUAUUAAGUGCUUGCAAACCGACAAUGGUAGUGAAUUUUGCUCUAGUGCCUUUGAUGAUUUUUGUUUUGAGAAUGGCAUCAAAAGAGUGAAGACGGUUCCCUACACACUACAACAAAAUGGGAUCAUUGAAAGAAUGAACCGAACAAUUGUGGAACGGAUUCGAAGUAUGUUGUCGCACUCCGGCCUACCAAAGUCCUUUUGGGCCGAAGCGGCAAAUACGGCCGUUUACUUGAUUAAUAGAUCACCUAGUGUUGCAUUAGAUGGAGACAUUCCGGAAAUUAUAUGGAGUGGCAAAGACAUUUCCUAUGGGCACUUAAGAAUAUUUGGGUGUGAAGCUUAUGUUCAUAUUCCGAAGGAAAAUAAAACAAAGCUUGAUGUGAAAUCAAAGAAAUGUGUAUUUUUUGGCUAUGGAGGUGAUGAGUUGGGCUAUAGACUUUAGAAUCCCGUUAUUAGAAAAACUAUUCGGAGCCGGGAUGUUGUGUUUAGAGAGGAUGUAAUGUUUAAAGAAGGCACGGAAGAAGAGCAAAAGAAAGAUAAACUUGUUGUUGAUGUACAAAUUGAUGGUUCUUCUCAAGAUAUACAUGAAGUUCAUUCUCCACUUCAUGAUAGUGAUGUUGGUCAUGAUGAUAAUGUUGAUCAUGAAGAAAGUACACAAUCUAGUGAAAGUCGGCAUGAUUCUCAUGAGAGUGAGAACGAUAUGUCUACCCCGCCGGCACAUGAUUUGAGAACAUCAACUAGGCUACAUAAACCCACCCAAAGGUAUUCUCCUUCUUUAUGCUUUAUUUACUGAUUCGGGUGAGCCCGAGUGUUUUCAGGAAGCAAAAGAUUGUCCCAAAAAAGCAAAGUGGCAAAGGGCAAUGGAGGAUAAGAUGGAUUCCUUACAUCAAAACCAUACUUGGGAGUUGGUGGAGCUUCCGGUCGGAAAGAAAGCAUUGAAAAAUCGAUGGGUUUAUGUGAUAAAAAAUGAAGCCGAUGGAUCCAAGAGAUAUAAGGCAAUGCUUGUUGUUAAAGGCUAUGGACAAAAGCAAGGUAUUGACUUCAAUGAAAUAUUUGCUCCCGUUGUUAAGCAUUGCUCAAUUAGAGUUGUUUUAUCCUUGGUUGCUAAUUUGGAUCUUGAGCUUGAGCAAUUUGAUAUUAAAACCGCUUUCUUGCAUGGUGAUUUGGAUGAAGAAAUUUAUAUGUUUCAACCCAAAGGCUUUGUAGAAGCUAAUCCUAAUUUAGUAUGUAAACUAAAGAAAGGAUUGUAUGGUUUAAAGCAACCAUCUAGACAAUGGUAUAAGAAGUUUGAUUCUUUCAUGCAAGAUGAAGGCUACAAAAGAUGUGAUUUUGAUCAUUGUGUUUAUUUUAGAAGCUCAACAUAUGAUUCUUUUACUAUUUUGUUACUAUAUGUGGAUGACAUGUUGAUUGCCAGUAAUGAUUAAAAUGAUAUUACAAAGUUGAAACUUGAUAUGUCAAAGAAGUUUGCUACUAAGGAUCUUGGUGAAGCAAAGAAAAUUUUGGGCAUGCAAAUUAAAAGGGAUAGGGAGCAUGGCAAGUUGUGGCUUAGUCAAUCGGGCUAUAUCUCUAAAGUUCUUGAAAGGUUUGAGAUGAAUGAUUGUAAGCCGGUUUCUACUCCAUUAGCCGGACAUUUCAAGUUAUCCAAGAAGAACUCUCCAAAGAAUGAGGUCGAAAGAGAUAAAACGAAGAAUGUUCCUUAUAAUUCCGCCGUUGGAAGUUUGAUGUAUGCUAUGGUUUGUACAAGAUCGGAUAUAGCUUACGCGGUUGGAGUUGUUUCAAGAUAUAUGUCUAAUCCGGGAUGGGAGCAUUGGCAAGCCAUUAAAUGGAUUCUUCGAUAUUUGAAGGGCACACAAAAUAUUUGUUUGUGUUUUGGUGGAACUUCUUUGGAGGUGAAUGGAUAUGUUGAUUCCGAUCAUGCCGGUUGUAGAGAGACAAGAAAGUCCACUACGGGAUAUGUUUUUACAUUUGGAGGUAGUGCGGUUAGUUGGAUGUCUAGGUUUCAAGACAUUGUUGCUUUGUCCUCUACGCAAGUCGAAUAUGUUGCCUUGACCGAGGCGGCGAAGGAAAUGAUUUGGUUAAAGCGAUUGCUUGCACAAUUUGGAGUGAAGCAAAAUAAAUAUGUUGUGCAUUGUGAUAAUCAAAGUGCAAUUCAUCUUGCAAAGAAUGCGGCGUAUCACUCCCGAAAUAAGCAUAUCGAUGUUCGCUUUCAUUUUAUUCGGAUGGCAUUAGAUCGUCAACACUUGAAUGUGGAGAAGAUCGAUACAAAGAAAAACCUUGCGGAUAUGUUGACAAAGGUUGUUCCUACGGAAAAACUCAUAUUUUGUAGGAAGCACUCCGGAUUGAUCGAGAUGUAGAUGGAGUGGUUGGAGAACAAUGCAUUGUGAUGAAGCUCAUUUGAUGGAUGGAGAUUACUUAUUUGAAGGAUGGAGAUUUGCCUUCAAGUGAGAGAUUGUUGAGCUAAUUAUAUUGGACCUAUUUCUUAUUUGGGCCUUGCUAUUUGGGCUAUGUAAUUUGGUGAAGUCAAAAUCUCCUCUUUCUAUAUUUUCUUAUCAUGUAUGUGGGCCCAUAUUUGUAAGCUUUUGGAUCAUGAUUCUUUUGAUCCAAAAGCCCAUAUUGUUAGCCUCUUCUCUUAGGGAGCUAAAGUGGGAUAUUAGAAAAGAGAGAAAAAAUAGAGAGAAGUAGAGAGUGAGAAAAAAAGUGGGAGAAAGAGAGAAACCCUAGAGUUGGUUUUGAUCUUGGUUCUAUCAAAAAGGAGAUGAGAUCUUCCUUGUGAGGUGUGGUUUACACCAUUUGGAUAGAGUUAGAGAUUGUUGGAGCUCUCUUUUAUAUCUUGGAGUUAAGGUGAUAUUUCUCCCAUUUGAAUCUCUCUUGUAAUCUCCAAAUUUAUAUCGGAAGCUUCUUUUACAUUGUUCUCCCGUGGAUGUAGGCAUAGCUGAACCACGUAAAUCCUUGUGUUCUUGUGAUUUGGUUUAUUUUGUUAUUGCUCUUGUGCUUGGCUUUUCAUUUGAUGCUUAUAGAAAGUGGGUUGUGAAAUUGCCCACCAAGUGUUUGUGAAAUUGCCACCAAUAUUUUUCACCCUCAUUUGACAACAGUAUCAAUACUAAUGAAAAUUCACUUCAAUUAAUAGAACUUGAUGAUGAUUUAUUCAAUAAAUUUAUUUAUUUUGUUAGGUUGUCACUAUCUACUAAAAUUGAUAGUUCUGAGACAAAAAUUACAUUCAUCCCUUGAUUUUAUUCUCUAAAAGUUUCUAACUUCUUUUAUAUAUAUAUAUACUUAACAUUAAGUAUUAAUUAGUCUACUGCUAAAAGUCGUCAACUCUAAUAAAAGAUUCAUUUGCCUCUUGAAAUAUACUUUUAAAGUUUUAAGUGAUGAAAUUUAUUUUUCUAAAGUUUUAAUUUCUUUAAAUUUGCCGCUCAUUUUAAUUCAGGGUUUGGCUGAGAAUGAAGUUAACCCAUGAGUAGCUCGAGAUCCACUGACGUUAUGGCAUCCAUAAAUAAGGAAGAAAUAGAAGUAAAUUUUCUCUCAAACUUUUCUAGAAAUAAAUUUAAGGGAAAACUAUAAAUACCCCUUAUGUGGUUUCGGACUUUCUCACUUUAAUACCCUGUGGUUUAAAGUGUAUUAAGUUAGUACCAUAUGGUUUCGCACUUUCUUACUUUCGUAUCCUGUGGUUUAAUAUUUUGUUAAAUUAUAUACAAAAACUUCAAAUAUCCUACCUACAUUUAUCGAAUAUUUAUUUUAGUAUCCUUUAGUUUUAACUUUGUCACUGAUUUAACGAAAAAAAUAUUCCGAAAUGGAUAAUAAAAAGAGAAAAAUAAAACCAAAAGAUAUUAACUUGAUACAAAAAUAAAAUCACAGAGUACAAACUUGAUACACUUUAAACCACAGGGUACUAAAGUGAGAAAGUGCGAAAACACAAGAUACUAACUUGAUACACGUUAAACCAUAGGGUACUAAAGUGAAAAAGUGCGAAACCACACGAGGGGUAUUUGAAGUUUUUCCUAAAUUUAAAAAUCGAAUAAUUUAAAGGGUUUUUUUUAUUAUUUAUGUUUGAUAAUUAUUUGAAGUGGCGUGAGGUCGGAUUGGGCCGAGUCAUAAUCGAGACCCGUAUUUCUAACCUUCAGUGUUUUUGAGAUUUAUGGUUCCAACCAGUGACCACUUAGGAGUAGUGCCUCAUUUGGUUGUGUUCAUUUUAUAAAUAAAAAAUUUAUAUGGCUGAAUGUAUGUAUUAGCCAUAGACGGUCUUAUCCUGCUUUUGUUGGUUAGCUUGUAAUGCAAAUCGUUUGAAUAUUAAAAACAUAUUUUUUUCAAAAAAGAGUGAAAAGAAAUUUCCAUCACAUUUCUAUUUUUCAUGCCAAACUAAGCCGUUAGAUGUAUAGCUAUAAGCACUACACCAACAACUGACCGAUUAUAGAAUAAGUGGCAAAGAAUUUGAUGGUUGGUAUCAGAGAUCUCAAGUUUGAACCCUAGUUGAUUCAUAUUUUCAGUUAAGUUUAUUUUUAAAUAAAAUAAACGAAGAGGGAUUUAGUAUCCCGUGGUUUUAUUUUUCUUUUUUUUAUUAUUCCUUCCAUUAUUAUUUUUUUUUGUUAAAUCAGUGACAAAGUUAAAACUAAAAGAUACUAAAGUGAAUAUUCAAUAAAUUUAGGUGAAAUAUCUGAAGCUAUUUAUAUAUAAUUAAACGAAAUGUUAGCGGAGGAGCUAACAAAAAGAAAAAAAUAAAAUCAUAGGGUACUCAAUUGAUACACUUUAAAUAAUACGGUACUAAAGUAAAAAAGUGUAAAAUCACAGAAAUGAUAUUUAAAGUUUACCAAAAAAAAUGCUUGCGAAUUCUACUACACAGAAAUUAUAUUUAAACAAAAAAAAAAAAGAAUAACGAAUAUGCCAAAUGUUAAUUUUAUUGCAAAAGUAAAAUAUCAUUUAUCGUAACUGUCCACAUACAAUCGUUGAGUGCACAAUCUCCAUUUAGAUUUUUUUUCUUUUUUUAGUAAAAAUAUACAUAAUUUAUCUGAAUUAUAAAUUAUUUUGAGUUGAUUAUUUAACUUUUAUAACCUUUUUUUUACUAUCCAAUUUUUCAAUUUAUUUAAUUUUAGUCAGAUAGUAAUUCUUUAUCUUUAAAAUUUGAAUACAUUAUUUAUCUUUAUAAAUUAUUAGCUAUUCCCGUUACUAUAAUUUGUUAAUGAAAGAAAAUAACUUAAAUUUUAAAAUUAAAGUGCCGUUGACCGACUUAAAUCAAACUAUUUGAAAUAUUGAAUUAUAAAAUUAAAUUUUUGAAAGAACAGAUAGCAAACUCAAAAUAACUUAUAUUUCAAGUAAGUUUCGUUCUGUUUUGUUUUUUUAUUUUUUUUAUUUAUUUAAAUACAUGUACAAACAUUUAGAUACCGCGGUAGACCUUUGCCAUGGAGGAAGACUUAUGUAGCAGUUGCACCACGUCAUUUAUGUUCCAGAUAAGAAUAAUAAGGUGCGAGAGUUAUAUAUUAGACUUUCUUCUAGCCGUUUAGGCAUUCCUAUUGGUAUUCGGAUCUACACUAUGGGAAAUAAAAUUUCACGGUGAACUCCACAAUGAUGCUUAGUUGGGAAAUCUUCGAUAUAUUAUCACAUGCCAGUUUUUUCUUCAUUAAAAAUUUAUUAGAUAUUUUAUAAUGCUAAAUUAAAAAAAGAAAAUUUUUAAGGAAAGAUUUAUAAUCUUUUAAUUGAGACAAAACCGAUACAAAAAAUGACAGUGCAUCGAUCGGAGCUCCUUGGUGAGGCUUUGCAUCCCCGCUGAAGUUUUUUUUUUAGAGAGAUAAGUAACACGCUAUUUACUUCGUUUAGUUCAUUUAGAAAUAAAUUUAGCUAAAAAUAUAAAUCAAUUAGCAUUCGAAUUUGGGACCUGACAACUACCAACCAACCGAAGGUUGGUGUGUGUAUAUAUUACUUCAAAAUUAUUCACAAAAUUAAAGAAUUUUCUCUACACGGGGCACAAAUUUUCCUAAUCAAUCUUUGCAUCACCAUUGAAAGAUCUAUGUCUACUGUGGUUCUGUCUGUACCAACAAGAGAAUCAAUUUUCAGCAGUGCUUUCCAAAGAAUUUUUGUCCCAACUACACCUUUGAGCAUCCGAACCCCAAAACACCAAGAAAAAAUAACAGAAAGAGACGAGAAUUGUCGGGUGUACGAAAAUAAGCAAUUAGGGCAUUUUUGGUUGGGUGAAAGUUGGGUGGAAGUUGAGAGUAGAAAAGUCGUUUUUGUCACAAAUGAUCACUUCUGUUGUUUGAUUCAUCAUAAAAAAUUACGGUCGAAAUUCGAGUUAACCUGAAGCGGCAUAAUUGAUUUCGGCACAUCGUGGGCCGAAGUCAAUUACGGUGAAGAAAAAUGAAAAAAAUAAUAAAACAAUAUACUAGGUAAAGAUAGUUAUAUUUAAAUAUAUUUAAUUAUGGUACUAAUUAUUUUCUUAUUCAGUUGGCACAUUUAAUAUUUUAUUUAUUUAGUUUGUAUAAUUAAAAUAUGAUAAAAAUUGAUUAAUUAAGUAUUAAUAUUUUUUUACUUUAUAAUUUUAUUGCUGUGUUACUAUAAUUUAUGCAUAAAAGAAUAAUUUAGUUGUUUUAAAUUAAAUUUUAACUAUAUACAAAUAUAAUUAUAUUAUUUUUAUUUAUUAAAAUAUUUAUUAUUUAUAUAUAAAUUAUAAUUUUAUAUUAUACAUUUUUAUCAAACAAACAGCAAAACAAAUAAAACUUUACUUCCAUAAUGCGAAACAAAUAGCGGAAAAGAAGUAGUUUUUACCAAACUCCACUUUAAUCCAAAGUCCAAUUUCGAUAAUGAAACAAAUAUGCCCUUAUUGAUACCUCUGCUCACUCGAGCCCGGCCUUGUUCUCUCAACAAUCUUAACCUCUUCCAAGAAGCUCUUGCUACACAAAGGAGAAAACUUUUUGCCACUUAAUAAUUUUAUUUUAGACUAAAAUGUACUUUGUUCUUUUCAAUAUAUUAUGAUGUUUAAUGCACUUAUUUUUUCUAAAAACUUAUGUUGUGAGCAUUUAACAUUUCGAAGAUAAAAAUAUGUACUUCACUCUCCUGGGUAGAAAAAACAGUAAUAAAAUAAAAACAAAUUUAGUUACUAUUAUUUACUAAAAUAUUUUUGAUCUUUUAAGAGAGAUUAAGUACAUACGUUUUAUAUUAGCCUUUAUUUUAUUUUAAACAUGAAAGAGUGGCUAAAGUAGGUCCUUCAGAGUAGUAAUAGCUGCUGCUUGCUUUUCCUGCAGUAGCAAAAGACAACAUUAUUCUGAGGAUUGAUUGAUACUGCAUAUAUGUAAACACUAGCUACGAACCCGCGCGAUGCAGCGGGUGAUAAUAUUUUAGUUAUUUUUUAAAAUAUUUAUUUUUUUAAGCACGUAUAAUUUUAUGAAUAUAUAUAAAUAUAUAGUAAUAUAUGAAAUAGAAAAUAUACUUUCACAAAUCAGAUAUAAUAUCUCACACUAACUUUACAUGAAGUACAUUUAUUUCAUAAAUUUUCUAAUAUUAAAUAAAAUUAAAAUUAUAAAAAGUAUUGCCUAAUUAAAAUAAUAAGAGAAUACAAAAUAGCGCACUGCCAAAAAAUAAAAGAUUCACAACAACUUCCUAUUUAUAAAAAAUAAAUCAACUAGAUAUAUUACUAUUUUUUUAUAUUGUAUUUAUAAAAUUUAUUAAAAAAUAAAUUUUUUUGUUCAUAGAAAAAUUCUUAGAAGUGGAAUAGGCCAAAAAAGAAAGAGAAAAAAAAAGAGGUAAUGAGAGAGAGAGAGAGAGAGAGAGAGGAGUGGAGAAAGUGGGUGGGCCAACAAAUGCUCCAAGCAAGACGAGCUGUAAACUAAACUUUAUUUAUGUUAAAGUUAAAGUUAAAUUGAAUAAUAUAUAAGGAUGUCUUAUAUACAGAGUGUAUAAUUUUUUUUACACUAUAUUUAUAAAGUUUUAUUAUACAGGUACAAAUCUAUUAAUUUUUGUGUCUAAAUUUUUUAUAUAUUAUAAAUUAUACUUAUCAGAUAAAUUUUAAUUUUAGUAUAUUAAUUAUUAAACAAUAGGUUUAGUUUAUGUGAUGAAUUUGUAGACUUAGAAAGGAUGUUGGGAAAGAGAGAGAGAGGGGAAUAAAAAAGUGGGCCCACCUAUUUCCCCAAAUGAAAGAGAGCUCCACCGUACCGUUUUUAGGUUUUUCUUUAACGUAAUUGUAUAGAUGUAUAGAUAUAGAUAGAUAUAUAGAUAGGAGUAGAUUAGGUGACGUAUUUGUGUAGAUGUAUAAAUAGGAGUAAAUUAGUUUGGCUUAGGUGAACAACGCACUCACCAACCUGCACCGUGAAAGUAUCUUCCAAAUUUAUGCAUCUAAUUUUGAAUAAAUUCUUGCUAAAUUAUAUUUUUAGUACUCAAACUUUUGGUCAAGUUUUAUUUCUGCCCUCUAAUUUUUGAGUUCAAUAUUUAAGAUCUUGAACUUUUAAAAUUGUUUCACUUUAGUACCUGUCCUUAUUUAUUACUAGAAAAAGUGUACCUACAUUCAGUCCAUGGCGAUACUCGUUUGCUAUUCACCAUCAAUCCUUAAUCUAAAUCUGAUAUUUUAAAUCCAUUGCCUAUUGAGUUCCAACAUUUUCUAUAUUUGAAAAUCAAGGCACUAUAUUAAAAGCAUAACAUGAAAAGAAAUCGAAUUACUUCAAAAAGCGCUGACAAGUAUAAUAAGUGUGUAACAAUUUCUUUUUCUGAAGGACUAAAGUGAAAUAAUUUUAAAAAUUGAGGAAUCUAAAUAUCAAACUUUAUGUCUCUGUGUAUAUAUAUAUAUAUAGAGUUUAGUAAUUCCUCUAGAAUAGUAGUAUUAAUCCAAGGAUUUGAAACGAUCAAAGGAUUAAAAUAUUAGAAGCACCACAUGAGUGAUGCUUCUGAAGUGCAUAAUCGGAAUAUAUAUAUAUAUAUAUAUAUAUAUAGAGAGAGAGAGAGAGAGAGAGAGAGAGAGAGAGAGAGAGAGAGAGAACUAGGCUAAUAUACUAUUAAUAGCACCAAGUCACUAGUGCUACCAAGUUUUUGGCCAUGGGAUUAAGAGAUGUGCGGUUUGGAUGAUGUGGGCCCCCUAGGAUUGAGUGGGUGGUUGGUUGAAUAGUAUAAUCUAACGGUUGAAAAUAAUCAAAAUGGUAGAUCUAACGGCAGAAAACUUGGUAGCACCAAGUGCUUCGUGCUAUUAAUAGCAUAGUAGCCGGACUAUAUAUAUAUAUAUAUAUUGGAAUACUAUCAAUAGCACCAAGCUAUUGGUGCUAUUAGGUUUUCGGCCCUUAUAUGAAAAAAUGUACGGUUAGGAUGAUGUGGGCCUCCUAGUAUUAAGUGAGUUAUUGGUUGGAUAGUAUAAUCUAACGGGUGAAAAUAGUCAAAAUAUUAAAUCUAACGGCGAAAACCUUGGUAGCACUAAAAACUUGGUGCUAUCGAUAGUAUCCAGCCGAACUCAUAUAUAGAAUUAGGCUGAAAUACUAUUAAUAGCACUAAAGAUUUGGUACUAUUAAGUUUUCUGCCCUUGAAUUAAAAGAUGUGCGGUUAGGAUGAUAUAGGCCCCUAAGGUUGAGUAGGUGAUUAGUUUAAUAGUAUAAUCGAACAUAUGAAAAUGAUAAAAGAGGUAAAUCUAACGGUAGAAAACUUGAUAACACCAAAUGUUUCGUGCUAUCGAUAGUAUCCCAGCCGGACUCCUCAUAUAUAUAUAUAUAUAUAUAUAUAUAGUCCUAUUAUUAUACUAUCGGUAACACGGAAGCUAAAUCUUAUAAAAAAUAAUAAUAAAAUAUUUGAAUUUAAGAUUAGAAGUACUAAUCUUACCUAAAUAGUAAAGAGAACUUUCUAGAAAAUUUCAUCAAAUUUAGAUUAUUUUACACCAUUAAAUUUACAACCACAUUAUAUUUGCUAUUAAAAUUACUAAUUUUGAGAUCUUUUGAUCACUAGUCAAAUAAUGUCGAAAAAUAUGAAUUUUAGUUUCUAAAUAUUUUCAAUAGUUUAGAUCAUGCCUGAUAAUAUUCUAGCUCAAAGUGUAAAUCUAAUGGUUAAAAAUUGGAUAACACUGUACCACCGUUUGGUUCGGGGUUAAGUAAAACUUGUUAUUCCAGAGAUAGAGUUAAGUUCAGGGUUAAGGUGGGGUUAGAGUAAUUUUAUGUUUGGUUGAGAAUUGGGUUUAGUCCAGAUAUAGAUAAAAUAGUGUUUAGUUGGAGUAGGUGGGAUAAGAAGGAUAGUGGGUAAAAUAAUGUUUUGUUUGGUUGGAGUAGUUGGAUAGUGUGGGGUUAGCUAACCCACCCUCCCAAAUUGGGUGUUAUUCCAUCCCUUAACCCCGAACCAAACAGGUGCUAAGUGAUUAAUACUAUUAAUAGUACCCUAGAUGGGCUAAUAUAUAUAGGGUUAGACUAGAAUAUUGUUUUUAUAGUAUCUGACUAUGAAUAUUGUCCAGUUUUUAACCCUUAAACGAAAAAUUAUAGUAUUAGAAUAAUAGUUGUUAAGAGUUUAGUAGUGGUGCCCCUUAGGUUUAGUAGGCGGUUGAUAGAAUAGUAUAAUCUAAAGAACGUAAUUGAUCAAAAUAUAGAUCUAAUGAUUAAAAACUAGAUAGCACCAAAUAAUCGUUAGUAUUAAUAGUAUCCCAAACAAACUCUAUUUAUAGAGAGAGAGCUUACCUUAACUUUUUCCUAUUUUAACAUUUAAAAAUUUUUAUUUUGCUACCUCAUUUUUUAAUUUCCUAGAUUUGCAACGGGUAAUGAUUCUUUCACUUUAAAAUUAAAUACAUUACUGAUUUUUAUAGAUUUAAUUAGUAUAUUUUAUAUAAUUUAUAUAACAAUAAAUUUAUUUAUUUAAGCAAUUAGUUAAAUUUUAUAUUAGAAGAACUAUCAAAUUACUUAAAUAGAAUAAAUUAAAAACUUAAGUACUAAAACUAAAAUUUUGAAAAAUUAGUUGGAUGGUCGGACCAAAAUGGUCUAUAGUUCAAAUAAGUUUUAUAUAUUUUUAUGAAAAAUACGAUCUGUGCAUUCCUAAGGAGGUGCAGGAUGUAUACCACAUUCAUUCAAGAGUGGAAUGUACUCUACUAGUUACAUCGAUAUGAUUAGUACUAAAGUCUCCACUCUUAGAUAGAUGAAGUAUAUAUCCUAUACUUCUCUAGGGAUGUACAACUAGCAUUGCGCUAUUAAUUUUUGACUACUUAAAAAAAAAAAAUUAGGGACUAGAAAAGGUUAGGGACUAGUAAUGCAAUUUAUAUGAUAAAUCUAUAACUAAUUUGAUCGUAAUUUUAAUUCGGGUACAGAUACACUGUAAAUAGGAUGAAAUAACCAACUCUGUUGAAUUCACAUGAUUUAGAUUUAGUUUGAAAUUAAGCUUUCGAAAGCACUCGUUUUUAAGCUUUACAUUAAUUAAAGAAGGAAAACUUUAAAGAACAUUUUUGUAAAAAUUUUUUAGCCAUCGAAAUAUUAAAAUAAGAAUUUCUAGUACAGCUUGUUAGCAUGCGAUUCGGUUGACUUGAGCCGAAUUCCUACUAAAGAAGUACCUGCCGUGGAAUGAUCGUUCCUGUUCGGGGGCUGGUUUGAAGCGGGCGGCCGCACUCAUCGUACAGUAUGAGGCCGCUGAACCGCGGCAGCUCGCACCUCUCCCCCAUCAAUAUCUUGCGCUGCCACAGCGGCAGAGCAGCCGCCGCCGCCGCCGCCGCCGCCCCUCGGUAUCCGUCCCACGCGCCUUCGUCGACCGUCAGCUCCCAUCUCGCGCCCUCUUCCGACGCUUCGCAGCCGACGGGCUUCGGCCUCGAAGUACGCGCGGAACAGACGAAGAUUCUCUUGAUCAUGCACCAGCCGGCCGACGCGAUCCGCUGCACUUCCGACGCCUUACGCAGCGUCGACUCGUUCUCAUUCGAAUCUGCUGCUGCUGCUGCUGCAUCCGCCGCCGCGGCGUGUUUUUUGGCGCUGAACCGCUUGUUGCGUCGUGCGAACGUCGUGGACACGCACAUGCCCGCGACGGCUGCCGCGACGAGCAGGAAGAGAAGCAGCACUGCUGCAUAUGCUGCGAGCGGUGAUGAUGCAGGCUGCAAUAUCCCGUAGGGUUCUUGUAGGUGUAGGGUGAGAGGGUCUUUGACAGCUCUCAUGUUCCCGAUCGAGCAUGCAAAUGGAUCGGCUCUGGCCUGUGGAUCUCGGCUUUUCUUUCUCUCUUGCUCCACCAGACCAAAUGACAGCGAUUAAAUGGGCUAAGAGCUCUAGUGCUCUUUUAUUGUUUGGAUAGUGUACUGCUUACUUUCUAUAUUUUUUUUUCAAAAAAUAUGUUUAUAUAAAAAUACAAAGCUAAAUUACAGACAAUAAAUUUUUACAUAAAUAUCUAUUUUUUUAAUUUUUUUUUAUGGUUUUUAAAAACUUAUCGUUUGCACCCCUCUAAGAUUUUAGAAAUAUUUCAAGAGAAGUACGACGUUAAUGGAGAGAAAAGAAAAUGACCAAUCUGCCUUUACUUCUUUUAUAAGAAAAAAAUAUUUUUUUAAUACAUUUAUGUUAUUUUGAAGAAAUUUUUUUAGUAUAAAUUAUACAAAAUAAAAAGAAUAGUGAUAGAACUCUAACGGAGAGGGCUGAUUGCAAUAACUUAAAAUGUUGAGAUGGUAAAAUAUAAAUUUUUGAAAGUUAGAAGAAAAAAAUAAAAAAAUAGAUAUUUAUAAGAAAAUUUUUUAUAAUUUAGCCAAAAUACAAAGCAGUAGAAAUAAUUUUAAUAUAUUUAUUCAAGGUGAAUUAUGUACAAGAACUGAAAGAAAAAAUAGAUUCACAAAUUUAAUAUAAAAAAAAUAAAUUCAAGGUCUCUUUAAACAAGAAAAAGAUUUUCAUACUGGUAUCAGAUUUUCUUAAAGAAACAUAAACGACUUAUGAACCGUCUUAACACUAAUAGUUUUAGAUAAUUUUUUUUUCAACUAAAUUAGAAGUUUUAUUUAAUAAAUCUUCAAAAUUUUACUUCUGUUUGCAAACUAAUGAGCAAUUAUUAAAAAAAAAUUAAUUUCAUACAGAUCCCUGCAAACAUAAUGAAUUACAAAUAUAUCCCUACAGAAUUCACUUUUUAUAUAUUGUUCUUGCAAAAGUUCUGAUAUUUUUAAAUAUAUCCAUACCGUUAGAAUCCGUUAAAAAAAGCUUAGUUAACUAUUAUUAAAAUACUUAACUCUAAUUAGUUAAUGAAGUGAAUAGACCUUUUUAUUUCUUUUCAAUUAACGGUUGAAAUUUUUCAAGAAACAUAUUUAUGAUGACAAAGAAAUUAAUUUAUUUAUAAAAUAAAUAGUGAUUUAACGGUAACAAAUAAGAAGGACAUAUUUGAAAAUAUUAAAAUUUUUACAAAAAUAAUAUAUAAAAAUAUAUUUAUAAUUUAUUAUAUAUUUAUAGAAAUAUGUAUAAAAUUAAUCCUAUUUAAAAUUGCUAUAGCUGAAAGGCGAGUAGACGCGUGACCAAGUAAGCCCCGAGUCUAUAGAGAGGUGUGUCGGUGCUAUCUUUUGCAGUAGCUGCUUUGGAAGCAAUGUUAGAGAGUGAGCAUCGGGCAUUCCUUCGUUCGCAGGAUUCUCGUGAGGAAUACUGCAGCUCACCGAACGUUGGGCUUCGGACCGCUGCAUCCGUCACAUCACUUUCACGUAAAAGAGUUAAAAAUUUAUAAGGACCUAACUCCCUGUUUCUGCUUACAAAGUUAGGAAAAACUUCAAAUACCUCCCAUGUGGUUUCAUUUUUUCUUAUUUUAGUAUCUCGUGGUUUAAAAUGUAUCAAGUUAGUACUCUGUGGUUUCGCACUUUCUCACUUUAAUAUCCUACGGUUUAAAAACAACAAGGUACUAACUUGAUACAAAAAUAAAACCACAGGGUACUAACUUGAUACGAAAAUAAACCACAGAGUACUAACUUGAUACACUUUAAACUACAGGGCACUAAAGUGAGAAAGUGCGAAACUAUAGGGUACUAACUUAAUAUACUUUAAACUAUAGGGUACUAAAAUAAAAAAGUACGAAACGACAGGGAGGGUUUUUGAAGUUUUCCCCUCUACAAACGCUUCUGAUCCUCAUUUGAUUCGAAAGUUAUUCCCGCUGUUCAAUCAAACAUAAACCUUUUUAGUCGAAAUGUUUUUCUUUCGAUAAAAUUUUGCUAUUCUUGUCAGACUUUCAGAUUGUCCUAUAUAUAAAAUAUAGGGUUAAUUUCAUCCGUACCCCUCUAAAGUUUCAAAAUAUUAUAAAUAUCCCUACAAAUUUUGUUAUAUCAUAUUUACCCCUCCAAAUGCAUACUUUCUUUCAAAAAUGACGUUCCUGUUAUACUCCGCCUAUUCAAGUUAUUUUGACUCUGGUUAGAUGAUGGUUUACCAAAGGUUAAAAUUUGAAAUACCUAUUUUGCCCAUGAGUUAGGAGGUUUUGGAGGGUAUACCUUAAUAAAGAGAGUUGAUGUAUUAAUUAGAUACUAAUGUAGGCCCGCGCUUCAUGGCAGAAAAUUUAUGUAAUCUAUUUAAAAUUUAAAAUUUCUAACUCCCUUAUUUUUUAAUCCUGAAAUUUGAAAUUUAAAAUUUAGAAAUUUAAAUUUUAAAAAAUAUAUUUUAUCUUAAUUCAGUUUGUACAUUUUGAAUAUAUGAUUUUAUAUAGAAUUUUAUUGAAUCUUAAUUUUUCUAAAUUCUAAACUUUUAUAUGCAUUGAAUAACUUUGUAAUUUUGAAUUUUUAUUAUGAAUUCCCAAUUCAAAAUUAAGGUAGAAAAUUCAGAGUUCAGCUAGAUAAUACGGAAUUCAGCUAGGUAAUUCGAAAUUCUAUGAUAUUUUGAACAUUAUUUUUUUGAGAAAAAGGUAGCGCGCUACCCGCUUCAUUCAUUCAGUAAGUGAAUUAAGCUACAUGGGUGAGGCAGCAAGGCCUCGACGAAAGGCGGAAAAAAAAAAAAAAAACGGUCACUCUACUGGACUAAGUUUCCUCCACAGGUCUGUCAACUGCUUAAUCUUAUAAAUACCGACUGAUGGAUCGCUCUGUGUCGUUCCGAAGAUCGCUUUAUUCCUAGAUUCCCAAGAGACCCACCAGCAGGCUAUAAUUCCUAUCAGACCGGUUGCGGUCGGAUGUGUUCUCGUUCUUCCUACCCAUCUAUCCCAGACUUGACGCACUUCCUCGCCUAGAUCUCCUAACUGGACAUCCUCCUGGGUCGUUACCAUAAGAAAUCUGGUAAUUAUGCACUGUGUGAAUAAGUGGUCGACCGUUUCCUCUUCCAAUCCGCAGAGCAUGCAUUUCGUGUUGCCGGUCCAUCCCCUCUUUACCAAAUUGUCAGCUGUAAGCAACCUCUUCUUAAGCAGAAGCCAACAAAACACUUUCACUUUUAGGGGUAGGCGUAGUGACCAAAUCCUACUCGUACGUGCAUCCCUCGUGCCUCCGUCACGCAGAGCUGAAUAAGCUGACUUCACCGUAAAACGUCCAUCAGUGCUCCAACGCCAGUGUACACUGUCUUGUCCCUGAUUAAUAGGGGCAUUGGAAAUCCUGUUCAUAAGUGCUGUAAUGCCAGGGUACGCACUAGGAUUAACAGUGAUGUCACCACUCAGAAUCGUUUCCCAGCACCAACCAUUGCUACUCAAUCCGUCACUGAUUUUCAGGUUUUUACGAGGAGAUAAAUUAAACAACUCGGGGAACGACGAACGUAGCGUUGUUUCCCCGCUCCAGCGGUCCUCCCAAAAGUUGAUAUUUCGUCCGUUACCCAGCUUAUAAAAUGCUCCCCAUUUAUAAAUAUCUUUUAGCUUUAGUACUCCCUUCCACCAGUAGGAAGGUGGCCUGAACGAUCGUCCCUCCUUCAGCGGUCUUCUUUUACGAUAGAAUAAGUCGUGAAUUAGUUUAGUCCACUGUAACUUGGGGGCGGUCUGGAAUUUCCACCACCACUUAACAAGUAGGGCUUGAUUCAUCGUACUAAUGUCGCGGAUGCCUAGUCCACCCUCCUCUUGUUCCGGCAAACACUCUGCCAUGAAACCAAACAUCUUAUUCCAGGCGUAGUUAUUUGUCCAGUCCAGAAGAAAUCUCUCCGUAUUGCCUCGAUGCGCUUGAUUACCCAAUUAGGAGUCGUGAAGACCGAGAGAUAGUAAAGGGGUAGAUUAGAGAGUACUGCGUUUACAAGGAUAAGUCUGCCCCCCCUCGAAAGCAGCUUUCCUUGCCACCCGUCGAUUUUACUUUGGAUUCUACGGAUGAUGCCCCUCUAGUCCUCCUUGGAAGGGGGUUUGAUCGACAGAGGCAAGCCAAGGUACUUGGUGGGUAGACUGCCGACUCUACAUCCGAGUAAGUGCGCCAUCCAGCUGGCCUUUCCCUGCGUCUGGCCGGUAUAGUAGAGUUCCGACUUCUCUCUAUUAAUUCUCAAUCCAGACGCCCAUUCAAAGAGUUGCCAAAUGAAUUUUAGGUUUCUCAAGCAUCUUUUCUUGGCCUUACAGAAAAAGAAGGUAUCGUCGGCAAAUUGAAUGAGGGUAGUUCUGGAUGUCUCUGUGGGGCCGAUGCCAGUAAUGAGAUUAUUACUAAUAGCCUCGUUAGUCAGUCUGGCAAGACAUUCCGCGACGAGUAUGAAAAGAUAUGGGGACUAAAGCCAACUCGAUUUGCAGCGGUAAUUGCAAAAGAACCCACACGCAUACUGAAAGUAAGGGGUAGGUCGUCAUUUUUAAUUUGAACCUUUUUGUAUGUAUCAAAUAUCUUGAGAUAGUUAAGCUGCAUUGUUGUGUAUGAUGGGGAAAAGAUGUUAUUAACAUUAGGGUCUCUCCUACAGAACAAUUUUGAGAAUUUAGAAUUCAUGUUAAGAAUUUAGAAUUUAGAUUUUGAAUUCAGAAUGCGAAUUAAUAUAAAAGGUUGGUUAUGGCAAUAGUAUUAAAAUAACAAAACAAUAGUCAAAAAAAGGUUCAUCUAAAAUAUCAAAAUUCAAGGUACUUGUCGGCAAAGAGUUUGUGUAUGAUGAGAAAAACAUGUUAUUAAUAUUAGGGCCUUUACCACAGAACAAUUUUGAGAUUAUUAGCAAGUCAUGAGAUUAUCAGCAAGAAUGACUUGUUAAGGUAGACAUGUAGCUAUUAUACUAAGCUUGAAUUUCUAAAGAUGCAAACUUGGAAUUUGAAAAAAUCCAUAAGAAAAGUUUUCGAAUGUACAAAAGAUUUCUCUUUGAUCUAACUAAAACCUUAAAUUAAACUAUGAACUAAUUUUAGGAGGGUAUUUUUGAAAGAAUGACCGUUGAGCGAAACUAAGUUCGAUGUGAAAUUUUUAAAUUUGAAGUGCUUUUAUGAAAUUUAUUAUAAGUCAGUGACCUUUGAAAAUUUUAUAAGGGCAAUUGUGAUAAGGGUAAAAUUGGUAUGUAGGUCUGUUAGUUAACAUUUUAACGAAAAAUUAUUUUAAAGGCUAUUUUUGAAAGUUUUUCAUAUAUAGAGGGGUAUUUAUGAUAUUUCAAUUUUUAGAGGGGUACUUAUGUAAAUAUCAGCUUUUGAAAGGGUACUCAGAAAAUUAUCCCUAAAAUAAAAUAAGACUAAAAUUUUUAAUCCGGCUUAAGUAUUUUAGAUAGUGGUUAGUCCCAAGAGGUUAAGAGAGUUAAGCGUGUUAGGACGAGAGUAGUCCUAGAAUGGAUGACCUUCUGAAAAGUUUGGGCGUCACAGUUAGUAUUAAAGUCAAUUACCAGUCGAAAGUAUGAAAUAAGUCUCGGCUAAGAUAGGAUCUGAAUGACAAAGCUAGCGAGACAAGUCUCACAUCGCCUGCUACUUGUGAGUCUGAGCUUGACGAGAACGUCAGGACUUAAAAAGGGGGAGAUUGGGAGAUCCCAGCUAGUUCUAUAUAUAAAGUAGAAAUAAUUGCCUAUAUACCCCUCAAAACUUAGAAAAUAUCUCAUUUACCCCAACUUUUUUUUUUCUUUCUAAUAUACCCCUCAUAUGUUCCUCCGUUAUUCCAAAAUACCCCUGCAGUUACAACCCGUUAAGUUAUCUUGGGUUAAACAUGAAUUAAAUAUCUAUCACAAUUAAAAAAAAUUAAAAUAUCAACUUUGUCCUUAACUUAAGGGCAAAUAAAAAAUAUUGGUGACAGCAGAAAGGUAUAUUUGAAAAGAUCAAAAGUCAAAAUAUUUUUUAUGCCCCUGACUUAAGGGCAAAUAAGAAAAAUCAGUAAGGGUGGAAGGGUCUAUUUGAAAGGGCAAAAUAGUAAUUUUAUACAGAUAAUAGAGUUUAUUAAUAGAUUUUAACUAUAGGAGUAUAUUUAAAAUAGGUUGGAAUAUAAGAAAGGUAUUUUCAAUAUUAACCUUUUAAGAGAGGUAAAUCAAAAAGUCAGAAACUUUUUAUUGGUAUAUAAACAAUUGCCUCUAUAAAAUAUAACAUGACUAAACUCUUAAUCAGAUUUAAAUGUUUUGUAUGGUGGUUAGGUCCAAAAGAUUAAGAGAGUUAAGCGUUUAGGACGAGAGUAGUCCUAGGAUGGAUUACACACCUUUGAUAAAAUAUUGUUAUUCCGAGAUUUAAUUUUAAAUUUUAUCAAUAUUAUAAUUAUAUAAUAUAUUAUUUUUAUUAUAAAAUUAUAAACUACACUAUAUUAAUGCGUAUUAUUUAAACUUAAAUAUCAUAUUAAACUAUUUUUAUUAAAUAUUAUAGUAAAUUAUUUCUAUAAUAAUUUUUUUAUCAAAUUAUAUUUUAUAUCAAAUUCAACCGUCAUUUUUUUCACUAUCUUUUGCUAUUUUAUAGAAUUAAUAAAAUACAAUUUUA
rnacentral:lncRNA from 1 species